rnacentral:lncRNA from 1 species
UGUCAUGCACUGGCUUUAUAGUAAGUGGCCAGACAUUAAUUUCAUUAACACAAACGCAUACAUUAAAAAAGUUAUUAUUGAUCCUCUUGAUAUUCAGUGGUUGGUCGGAGAGAUACCCCAACAAAAAGAGGGAUCAUUGUAUGUGCUGCUUUCCUUCUCUUUGCUAAUUUGUUUUACACUAAUAGCUAAAGCUUCCCCAUUUUUUUCUUGCAGUGAUUGCAGUGUAUAUAUUGAGGCUUUUAAAGAAUAUGUCAGCAUUUGAUAGCUGUUGAUUCCAAAGGAUGAACUUAUUGAUAUUUAAUCAACACCUUAGACGCUAUGAAGCUCUCCUUUUGGAUUAUGCUAGAAAGAAGCAAGUGCUUGGUGCAAUCAGUGAAAGUGAGGUUACUGGGAUAUUAGCAAGAAGAAAAGGCGCACGAGCAUUGAAAGAGCAAACAAGAGCCCAGAACAAAAAAUAAUUAAUUAGCUAAUCCUUUAGCAGAAUUGUAGUAAAACUAUUUACUUGUAGCAGAAUUGUAGUAAAACUUCAACUUUCAUUCAUUGGCAUAUUUUGACAUAAGCGUACCAUUAUGAAUAAGACUGAGUUGUUCUAAGUUUUUCCUGAAAGUGAUGUUCAUGUUCUUAUUCAUUCAUUAACAGUGGCAUAUACUUAGCAAGUAUCAUAACUAACCUCAUCGAGGCAAUAGACGAAAGAAUUAUAAAUGACGCUCGCUAGUCACCUAUACACUUCAUAACUCCAACAAGUACAGAACAACAAUAUGAUCAAGUCAUGAAUCACAUAAUAAGACACAUUGGUGCACAUAACAACUUAACGUACUUUGCUCAGUCAACAAUCCAGCAUAUAAAGGGUAUACAAAUAAAUUAGGAAACAACCAAGGAAAUUGCAAUUAAAAAUGAAAUGCAAUAACCAAAUCAAAUAAAUCUAUUGUGGUGCGCAACCCAAUCUAGAUAGAAAUCACGUCACGGCUCUCAGGCCCACAUCAGAAUCUCAUUAUUCGAUCCAAACUAAUACUCAGCUCUCCCAGAGCUCACAUCAACCACAAACUCAUCGGUUUCUCACAAUCUGCGUGUACACCAUCAAGAAGACACAUGAGAGGGUUACCCUAGGGGAAUGGAUCCAUAUCCACACACAGCAUGGACAACUCACGUGCUAUCAGCCCAGCGUGGUCACACGCUCAACAUCAUAAUCUGUCCAUCGUGGUCACAUGCUCAAUAUCACUGAUCCUCCCGGUGUGGUCACAAGCUAUAUCACAAUCCACCUGGCGUGGUCAUAUGCUAUAUCAUAAUAUGCCUGGCAUGGUCAUAGGCUAUAUUACAAUCUGCCCAGUGUGGUCACAGGUUCAUUAUCACAAUCCGCCCGGCGUGACCACAAACACAAUAUCCCAAUCUGCCUGGUGUAGUCACAUACUCAAUAUCACAAUUCGCCUGGCGUGAUCACGGGCUACCCGUCCAAACCAUAUCACACAUAGAGAAGAUAGUCAAGAAUACAUGUACAUGAUCAAGAACAUCAAAUUUCAUACUUCUGGACUGGUAUAAGCGACAUGCUAAGGUGUAUGCAUGUGCAAGUGUGAUAUCAAUAGCUCAAAUCAGGUAAAUACAUCAAAACAUAGCAACUAUCAGGUUCAAUCAAGAGAUUAACCUCUAUGUAACCUUAAACAUGAAUCAAAUAGCUCUCAACAGGGGUACAACUAAGAGAAACAUAACAGUAUGAAGCUUAGAAAUCAAUUCCAGGUAUAUCACACCCUAAGCACUACCCCGCGCUCGCACAUGGUCUUAGCCCCAAAUAUGUGCGCACCCAUAGCACAUAGCUAUCAAAAAUAAUUCUAGUAACUAGUGCCUAAACCAAGUUUAGGUAAGAUACUUACCUCAAACAAGCCAAAUCAAUACUCUAGAAGCGUCAUUCCGCAUGAAUCGAGCUACGAACGACUCGAAACUAGCCAAAAGCAACUCAAAAAUAUCAAAUAAUGCCAAAGGAAUAAAACCCAGACGAUAAAGGUCGAAUCUUUGAUCAAAUACUUAAAGUCAACCCAGGCCCAUACCUUGGAACCCGACAAAACUCACAUAUUCCGAUAAUCCAUUUGAAUACGAGUCCAACCAUACUAAUGUCACUCAAAUCCGACUUUGAAUCGAUGUUCAAAGCCCAAUUAUUCACUUUCGAAAAGAUUUGAUUAAAAAACCCCUUAUAAACGAACAUUUGCCUGGUUAACAAGAACCAAGUUGAUUUUAAUAAAAUUCAUAAAUACCAACUUGAGUAAUUUUGGAGAGAAGUGAUAAAUGAUAAACUGAACAUUUAGAAAUAGUGAAAUACUUAUGCAGUCCUUGUGUGCUUGCUUUGUGCACCGGCACAACAGAAUUCGAAGCUACUCGGCGUACUAGCCCUAUAACAGAGAGUCUUUUUCCGAUUCGGCCGACGACCACCAUAAACCACCACCUUCUUCUUCUUCCGGCUAAUGCUAACACCCCCUCCUUCAGAUUCGACAAUGCCUUCUCUUUUUAAAAUACGACAUUUUCUUCCUUAUCCUUGAUUAAAAUCAAAACAGGAAAAAAUAACAAUUCAAGUAAAGGUAGCAGACAUAGCUCCUUUCUGCCAGUGACCAUUUCCCGUCGAGCAUCUCCUUUCUCUUUCUUAUUUUUUUGGUCAGAUUUUUUUAUUCUGUUUCUCUCCUUUUUGUUGCUGACAUGUAACUUUUUCAUUAGUGUAGUCUGACACUUCAAAAGAGUGUGAGAUUCACGCACUAGUGUUGGUUUCAGGAUUGUUAUAUUUGUGUGCAAUUGGUCCACUUUUGAUGGGUUGAAGUGUUCAAUAGGAACAAGUUUUAGUUGAGGUGUCUAAGUGAAAAUUGGUGCCAAGUUUAAGGGGCUACGUAUGUAUUUGGACAAUGCCAAAAUCAAAGAUGAAUCACGUAAAAUAAUCAAGUCCAAGUCAAAAAAUACUUACCUAAUCCAAAUCGUGAAAAUCCCCUCUAAAAUAGCCAAAAUCCAAGCUCUAUAACUCAAAAUGUGAUAAAAUAAGCUCAAAGUCCGAAAUAAAGUACUUUAUAUAACUGCUUCAGGAUACCCAUCGCGACCGCGGAAAGAGCUUUGCGAUCGCGAAGCACAAAAGUCACAGCUCAAACAUUACCCUCCGCGUUCACGUCAAAUACCUCGUGAAUGUGAUGCACAAAUCAGCCAACACUAUGCGAACGCAGCGUAGACCCUCGCGAGCGUGAAGACAUCAUCACCAGCUCCUAGCUCUUCAUCACGAACGCGUCCCUACUAUUGCGAACGCGUUGCCCAAGCAUCAUAAAGCUUUGCGAAUGCGACCCUCCAGUUGCGAUCGCGAAGAGGAGAACACCCAACUCCAAUCAUACACAAUGCAAUCACAGUUAGUCCCUCGCGAUCAUAAAGUACAUCAACAACACCAGAAAACUAGCAAAACAAUAUGAAGGAAAAUGGUCUGAAACCAACCCGACACUUACCCGAGCCCCUUGGGACCCCGUCCGAACAUAACAAAAAGUCAAGAAAUAUAAUAGGGUCCUACUCAAGGCCUCAAAUCACACAUAACAACGUAAAAACCAUGAAUCUCACCUCAAAUAGAGCUUAAUGAACUAUUUCAAAUUUCCAAAUUCCAAACUUAUGCCGAACACGUCUAAACAACUCGGAAUCACCUCAAGUUUUGAUCACAAGUUCCAAAUAGCAUAAUGAAACUAGUCCAACUCCUAGAACCACGAUCCGAAUCUAAUAACAUCGAGGUCAACUCCUGGUCAAACCUAUGAACUUUUCAAAAUACCAACUUUUGCCAAAUAGAUCCAAAACCUUCUAGAAAUAUCCAAAUGCAAAUUCGGGCAUACACUCAAGUCCAAAAUCACCAUCCAGACCUAACGAAAUCAUAAAAACUCUGAUCCGAGGUCAAAUACAUAAAAUUCAAACUUGGUAACUCUUCCAAUUUAAAGCUUCCUAGUUGAGAAUUAUUCUUCCAAAUCAAUACCGAACCACUAAAAAACAAAAAUAGACGAUACUCACAAGUCAUAAUGCACCAAAUGAAGCUACUCAUGACUUCAAACUACCAAACUGAAUGUAAAUGCUUAAAAUGACCAAUCGGGUCAUUAUAAUAUUAUUAUAUUACAUCUAAUGCAUGGGCACAAUGUGUGGCUUGACUUUUUAUAAAACUUGAAUAUCUUUAUGAAUCACGAUUACAUCAAUGCAUGCCCUCAGUGGCUUGUCUUUGGUGUUCAGGUUGAAAUUGUGUAUUCAUAUCUCUUAUGUUAUGUCUUUGGUUUACUUACAUUAUCUGCCUUAAAUAUUUAGUGCUCCUUUCAUACUGACUCCCCUUUAUUUUUUGCAUUGUGUUCAUGACCACAGGUAUAGAUAGACCCAGUGACAUCCCUCCGUAGUAGGGUGCACUUUUCAUCUGCCAGUUAUCGCACUCUACUUCUCCGAGUAGCUAUAUAAAAGUUGAUAGGCACUAAAGUAUAUGUUUCAGUCAUUUUGGAUAUGGUGAGGCCCUCUCUCGGCCAAGUUGUAUACAAUGGUACUCUUAGAGGCUUGUAGACAAAUGUGCGGUGUGAAUGCAAAUGUUGAUUAUGACUCUAUUGGCAAUAGUUGCACAUAUAUACAAAAUGCUGCAAGUUUCCUCCACAAUCAGUUGUAAGAAUUUUUAAAUUUUGGUAUUAUACUUGGAAGCGUUGUUGGCCCAGAUUUCAUGUUAAAUGGUCUAAGUAUAGAUGUUGGUUUACGCAGGCCCUCGGGCGUCGUGUGUCAGAUGCAACUCUGAUGGUUGGGGUGUGACAAAGUUGGUAUCAGAGCAGGUUUGUUCUAGGGAGUCUGCAAGCCGUUCUAGUAGAGUCUUGUUUAUGUGUAUGUCGUGCACCAUACUUAUACAUAGAAGGCUAUAGGAUAUCUAUGAUAGAUAAGAGAGCUCACUCCACAGGUGAUACGGGAAUGUCUCGAGGUGAUUUUAGACCUUCAAUUCCUUGGCAUCUAUCUUAUCUGGUGACUAGUGCACCAUUACCAUUCCAGGGCCAGCAUCAGAAUUCCCGAGGACAGAGCUCAGAGUAUAGUGGAAAUUCUAGAAGGACGAGGCCCUCGGUGUCGUACUGUGGUUGAUAUGGUAGGAUCCAUUUUGGUCAAUGUCGCCAAGGCUUGGACUUAUGUUAUUCGUGUGGGCAGCCCAUCCAUAUUAUGCGUUUUUGCCUGAUGAAAGGUGGGGGUAGUAUGGCGCAGGCGAUAGGAUAUGUAGCAGCUUCUUCUUUAUUGGUAUUCCCUCCUAAGCAAGGUACGCAUACAUUGAUUGGGAGAGGUAGAGGCAGGAGUGGAGCGUCUAGCUCGGGCGGUCAACAGAAUCGCAUCUAUGCAAUGUCAAGUCAACAUGACCUAGGGUCAACACCGGAAGUAGUUACAAGUAUACUAUCCAUAUUCUCCACUAAUAUGUAUGCCUUGGUAUAGAUUCAUGUUCUAGUUUUUCAUACAUUACUCCAUUUUAUGCUGGUAUUGUUGUUGGUAAAUAAGAUAAAAAAUUGAAUUGUUACGCCAGCCAUUUGAAGUGUCUACGCCCGUUGGUGAGUCAGUGAUAGUUAGGAGGGUAUAUUGCGAUUGUGAUGUGAUGAUUUAUGACAGUCACACCUUAGCUCAUUUAAAUGAAUUAGAAUUGGUAGAAUUUGAUAUUAUUAUGGGAAUGGAUUGGAUGGCUUCUUGUUAUGAUAAUUUGGAUUGUUGGAAGAAAGUUGUCCGCUUUAACAUCCUAGGAAAGCCUAUUAUUGAAUGGAUGGGUGAUGUUGCAGCACCUAAAGGGAAGUUUUUUUCUUACCUUAAGGCCCGAAAGAUGAUUUUGAAAGGAUGCAUCUAUCAUUUGGUGCGAGUGCAGGAUGUAGAGGUAAAGCCUCCAGCCCUUCGGCCGCUACUAGUUAUUAAGACCACUUAGAUUAGAAGAGCAUUUCAAAGAAAUGUUCUAACUUAGAGUAGAAUGGAACAUGGAAGAGAUUCAUUGACAACAGGAAAAAGAUUGGCGCCUAAUUCUAAUACAAUAGGGGUCUAUCAGUGCAAGUCAGCUGAACACCAUGAUUGAUGAGUGGGUAGGUGGGUUAGGUGCACCUCUCGCCUAGUGGGAAGUAAUGAGGCUAGUCUCCCCCUUCCCCCUGAAUGAAGAAGUAGUGGGGUCCCCUUCCCAUGUAUGCGCCUUAUGAAUUUUUUGAUGUAUUUCCUGACGAGCUCCCGGGUGUCCCUCCCGAGAGACAAAUCGAGUUCGCUAUCUACGUGCUUCCUGACACGCAACCGAUAUAUAUCCCUCCGUAGAAGAUGGACCUUGCUGAGUUGAAGGAAUUGAAAGCUCAAUUGAAAAUUCUUCUAGAUAAGGGCUUCAUCUAAUCUAGCACUUACCCGUGGGGUGCCCCAGUGUUAUUCGUUCGUAAGAAAUUUGGUUCGCUGAGAAUGUGUAUUGAUUACCGUCAGUUGAACAAGGUAACCAUUAAGAAUAAAUAUCCACUCCCAAUGAUUGAUGACAUGUUUGAUUAAUUUCAAGGUGCCAAGUAUUUUUCAAACAUCGAUCUCGGAUCUGGGUAUCAUCAGUUAAGAGUUAAGAAAGAAGAUGUCCUGAAGACAGCCUUUCGGACCAGAUAUAGCCAUUACGAGUUCCUUGUUAUGUCCUUUGGCCAAACUAAUGCACCAGCGGCUUUUAUGGAUCUGAUGAAUCGGGUAUUCAAGCUAUUUUUGGAUAUCUUUGUGAUCGUAUUUAUAGAUGAUGUUUUGGUGUAGUCUCAAUCAGAAGUUGAGCACGCAGAGCAUUUGCGAACGCUUUAAUGCAUGCUCCGAGAUCGUAAGUUGGACGCUAAAUUUUCCAAAUGCGAGUUCUGGUUGAACCCAGAGGCUUUUCUUGGGCAUAUUGUAUCGGAUAAGGGCAUUAAGGUCAAUAACCAAAAGAUUGAAGCGAUUAAUAAAUGGCCAAGGCCUACAACUCUUACGGAGGUGCGUAGCUUCUUGGGUUUAACUAGUUACUAUUGAAGGUUUGUAGAAGAUUUCUAUUCUAUUGCUACUCCAUUAACGAAGUUGAUGCAUAAGGCAGCUAAAUUUUAGUGGAACGAUACCUGUGAAUGGAGUUUCCAAGAGUUGAAGACUAGACUAAACUCAGCAUCAGUUUUAGCUCUUCCUGAAGGGUCAGAGAGUUAUGUUAUAUAUUGUGAUGCGUCUAGAGUGGGAUGAGUUAGUGUUCUAAUAGAGCACGAGAGAGUUAUUGCUUAUGAUUCAAGACAAUUAAGGAAAUACGAGCAGAAUUACCCAACUCAUGACCUAGAGUUAGUGGCUGUUAUAUAUGCUCUGAAAAUAUGGCGUCACUAUAUAUAUGGAGUUCAUGUUGACAUAUUUACAGAUAUUAAGAGCUUUCAAUACAUAUUCAAGCAAAACGAAAUGAAUUUGAGACAUCAGAGGUGGCUUGAAUUGUUAAAAGACUACAAUAUUGAUAUAUUAUAUCAUCCUGGCAAGGAGAACGUGGUAGCUGAUGCAUUAAAUCGAAAAUCAAUGGGCAGUCUAUGGAAUAUGGAAAUUGAUAAACUGGAGAUGACUAAAGAUUUGUACAAGUUGGCUAAUUUAAGUGUAUUAUUUGUUGAUACCGGUGAUGGAGGAGCCAUUGUUCGAAAUGUUGCUGACUCCUCAUUAGUGGUAGAAGUAAAGGCACAAAAAUUUGACGAUCUGGCCUUGAUGAGAAUAAGGGAAAGCAUUCCCCAUCAGAAAUAGAAACUGUUUGAAAUGUCCGAGGAUGGAGUCCUUAGAUAUAAGGGCCAGUUAUAUGUGCCUGAUGUCGGGGGACUCCGAAGACAUAUCAUGGAAGAGAUUCACCAAUUUCGAUACUCUAUUAAUCUAGGAUCAACCAAGAUGUAUCAUGAUCUUCGAUAGCUAUACUGGAGGAAUGGCAUGAAGAGAAACAUUGUUGAAUACGUCGCUCGGUGUCAGAAUAUGGAAAUCCCGACCUUGAAAUGGGAGAUAAUAAACAUGGACUUUGUUACUAGAUUACUAUAUUCUCACCGAAAGUUUGAUUCCAUAUUGGUUAUUGUGGAUAGACUCACUAAGUCAGCUCAUUUCCUACCUGUUAAGACCACGUUUUCAGCUGAAGAUUAUGCUAAGUUAUAUAUUAAUGAAAUAGUUCAACUUUAUGGAAUUCUGAAGAUCUUUUCAAGAAUGUUUGGGUAUAAAAAUCAAACUUAGCAUAGCUUUUCAUCCGCAAAUGAACAGCCAAGCCGAGCGCACUAUUCGAACACUCGAGGACUUGCCACGAGCUUGUGUACUAGACUUUAAGGGGAGUUGGGAAGACCAUCUACCACUCAUUGACUUUGCUUACAAUAACGGUUACUAUGUCAGCAUUCGUAUGGCACCAUAUGAAGCUAUAUACGGAUGAAAGUGUAGAUCCCCUACCGGUUGGUUUGAGGUUGGUGAAACAAAAUUAUUGGUUCCAAAUUUAGUACAAUAGGUUGUAGAAAGGUGAGAAUAAUUCAAGGUCGAUUAUUGAUAGCUCAAAGUAGGAAAAAUCCUACUCAGAUAACUAGUGUCAGGAUUUAGAAUUCUCGGUGGGAAACUGGGUAUUCUUGAGGGUUUCAUCUAUGAAAGGUGUGAUGAGGUUUGGAAAUAAAGGCAAACUCAGCCCCCGGUAUAUCGGACCGUAUCAAAUUGUUCAUAGAAUCGGCCAAGUAGCUUAUAACCUUGAGUUGCCCCUAGAAUUGGGAGCAAUGCAUCUGGAAUUUCAUGUGUUCAUGCUUGGUAAAUGCUUGGGUGAUCCAUCUCGUAUUAUUCCCAUUAAAGAUAUCCAAGUCACAGAAGAUCUAUCCUAUGAAGAGAUUCUGGUGGCUAUCCUAGAUCAUCAAGUUCGCAAGUUGCGAACCAAAGAGGUGGCUUCAGUUAAGAUACUUUGGUGGAACAACAAUGUAGAAUAAAUGACAUGGGAGGCUGAAGAGGAUAUGAGAUAUAGAUACCCUCAUUUGUUCCAUACUACAAGAGACCAUGUUGGAACUACUAUAGCAGGAACAACCCGAGAUACUAUGAAAGAUGAUUGGAGAAUUUUGCAAGGGUGACUGCGAUUCAAUAUUCGGGAACGAAUGUUCCGAAGGGGGGGAUGAUGUUACACCCUACACUUUUCUCCACAUAAGAAGUUAAAAAUUAAUGAGGUUUUAGCACAACUAAUUGGCCGGUGACACAUUAUGGGGACAAAGAAGUGAUUACAUUUGAUCAAAUUAUGCCAGCUGCCCCACCGGGCGUAGUGGCCGGUGCGAGGCAACCCGUUUGGAACCUGGGGAAGUAGACUUUCUAGAUUUGAUAUAAAAUGCAAUACAACUUUCUUAUCUUACAUUCUAUAAUAUUACCAGCUUUAGUUUUUUUCAAAAAUGCUCUUAAGCUCUUUUUAAGAACUCUUAACAAUUCACGACCAAUUCAAAGAUGAACCUAGUAGGAUUUAAUGAAAAUAUCUCAUGAUUAUCACUGUAUCACCCACCUUCUUGUUAUACUGAUGUUGGAGACUCCUUGGAGGUGGAGGUAAUCACCGUAGAAUUGUAAGAACCCAGAAAGUGUAGUUAGUCCUUUAACAAGGUAUGUAAUGCAACUGUCUUUCAUUGGCAUGUCUUGAAAUAAGCGUACCCUUAUGAAUAAUCCUUCUGUUAUAAGACUAAGUUGUUCUAAGUUUUUCCUAAAAGUGAUGUUCUUGUUCUUAUUCAUUCUUUACCGAUGUCAUUUUCUUCCAAAAAUAAUUUACUCUGAGUCUAACUAUAAUAUCUCUUGAAAGUAAUCUUGCAUUGCACUUAUGUAUAUAUAUCUAUUUUACUUUACCGAGUUAUGCUAUAGUCGGCCAGGCACGCCACCUAUUGUGCAACCACUAAUCAGUUGGGUAUGAUAUGAGUCAUUACAGAGCCUUUUGUGGCCAGGUACAAUCGAGUCCUCUAUGAGGCCGAGUACAAAAUAAUGUGAUAUGAAAUAUCACUGAGUCCUCUUGAUACUGGGUAUGCUGAGAUCUGUUACAACCAAGAUCUCCUGAGGUUGGGGACGACCAAGUCCUUUUGAGGCCGGGUACAAUUGAGACGUCUUGAGGCCGAGUACGAUGCGAUAAAAUCAUAAUCCUUUACCAAGUCCUCUGUGAGGCCGGGUACGAUAUGAGAUGAUAUACCCAAAGAAUGGCUGAAUAUUAUUAUAUUACAUCUAAUGCAUGGGCCCAAUGAGUGGCUUGACCUUUUAUAAAACUUGCAUAUCUUUAUGAAUCAUGGUUACAUUAGUGCACGCCUUCAGUGGCUUGUCUUUAGUGUUCAGGAUCAAAUUGUGUAUUCAUAUCUCUUAUGUUAUGUAUUUGAUUUACCUACAUUAUUCGCCUAACAUAUUCAGUACACCUUUUGUACAGACGCCCUUUUUUUCUAGGUGUUGUGUUCCUACCCACGGGUAUAGAUAGACCAGGUGACGUCCCUCCCCAGUAGGUUGCACGUUUCAGCUGUCGGUUAUCACACUCGACUUCUCAGGAGUAGUUGUACACAAGUCGAUAUGUACUGAAGUAUAUAUUUCAGCCAUUUUGGGUACGGUGGGGCCGUGUCCCGACCAAGUUGUAUACUAUGGUAUUUUUAGAGGCUUGCAGACUAGUAUCCAGUAUGUAUAUAAAUGUUUGUUAUGACUCUAUUUGUACCAAUUGCACAUAUAUAUAAAAUGUUGCAAGUUUCCUCCACAAUCAGUUGUAAGAAUUUUCAAAUUUUGGUAUUAUACUUGGAGGCCUUGUUGGCACAGAUUUCAUGUUAAAAGGUCAAAGUAUAGAUGUUGGUUGGCACGGGCCCUCGGGUGUCGUGUGUCGGUCGCAUCUCCAGAGGUUGGGGUAUGAUAAAUAAGUCCCCUCAUGUACGCUAAUAGCUUAACCACUGGGAGCUCUCUUGAAUCUUUAUUUACUGCAUUCAAGGACUCUGCAAUAUUUGAUGUCAUCGUCCAUGUUUUAUUUGAUGUCGCAUGUACCCGAGACCAUUUGUGAUAACCAAUAUUGUAAAGGUAUUCUUUUACCCAUGUGUCGAUCUCUUUAAUCUUUGACAUGUGUUCAUUAAACUCAUCAAUAGUGUAUGAUCGUGUCGUGGCAAAGUAUAAUUCACUUAACUUUAGAUGACCUUUGUUGAACUUUGACCUUAUAUUUGUCCAAAUAUGCCACAUGCAAGCAUAAUGUGGGAUGCUAAAAAUAAUAGUUGGUGUUGCCUUCAAUAUACUCUCAUUUAUGUCUGAAACAACACACAUAUUUGGUUUUUUGACCAUAUGUAUGUUAACUUCUCAAAAAGCCAUGUCCACGAUGCGUCAUUUUUUGAAUCAACUAUGGUGUAAGCACGUGGUAAUAUACUACCUAUCAUUGUAACGACGCUACCGGUCGUUAUGAGCUUCAAGGUUCCGUUUAGUGGUUCGAGGUAGAGUAGCUUCCUAUUGUAUAUUAUGACUUGCGUACAUGCUCGGAUUUGAUUUUUAUAUGAUUCGAAAUGAAUUUGGAUGAGUGGUUCUCACUUUAGAAGCUUAAGUUGAAAAUAUUGACCGAGGUUUGACUUUUGUGAAAAUGACCCCGGAAUGGUGUUUUCAUGGAUCCGAUAGGUGUGUAUCAUGAUUUUGGACUAGGCGUAUGCCCGAAAUAAAUUUCGGAAGUGCUUAGGUUGAUUUGUGUUGUUUCGCCGAAAGUUGGCAAUUUAAAGGUUUAGGAUUUUGAUAAGUUUGACCGUAGGUUGACUUCGUAGCUAUCAUUUUUGGAUUUCUAUUUCGGGACUUGUAAUAAGUCCGUUUUGUCAUUCAGAACUUGUCCGCAAAGUUUGGUGUUUUUCCUAGUUGAUUUGAUACUAAUCGGACGCGCGGUUGUAUUUUUAGAAGUUCUUGGGUUUCAUGUUGAAUUCAUGUGUUUUGAGGUCCGAUUCAUGGUUUCGGAUGUUAUUUUGAUGAUUUGAUCGCACGAGCAAGUUUGUGUUAUAUUUUUAGACUUGUGUUGAUGUUUAGUUUGGCCGCUGUGCUCUUCAUAGGAGGUUCAUAUUUUUGCUAGUGCUCAGAUCUCGCAUUUACGAGAAAAAUGUCGCAUUUGUGAUCUUUAUCAUCGCCUUUGCGAAGAGCACAGUGGCCUGAAGAGUUCGCAUUCGCGAACUCCCAAUCGCAUUUGUGAUGCUGGCCUGGGCUGGGCAUUGGUCACAUUUGCGAUCACUGUGAUCGCUUUUGCGAAUUGUCCAUGUUCGCAUUUGCGAAUAAAUCAUCGCAUUUGCGAUGACAUUAGGGAUGUGAGAUUCCUCUCAUUUGCGGGGUUCGCAUUUGCCAAACCCAAGUCGCAAUUACGACACCUACGAUUGGACAAAAGGCUGAGGGACGAGAUAUUUGGUUUCAUUUUCAUAUUUUGGAACCCUAGACUCCGUAGGAGGCAAUUUUGAAAAGAGAUUUUUAUCAACAAAAUUUGGGUAAGUGAUUCCAAUCUGUAUCAAAUCAUAUUCCAUCAAUAUAUCUUAGAUUAUAACAUCAAAAUCAUGUGAAUCAAAUUGAAAAUUUGUAAACUUUGUCAAGUUUUUGAAAAAUAAAAAUUUGAGUUUUGAGAGUCGAUUUGGACUCAGAUUUUGAAACUAACCACAUAUAUGAACUCGUAGGAUCAUGGGUAGUCAGAAUGAACCAUUGGACCCGGGUUUUGACCGUGCGGGUCCCGAGUUUACUUUUGUUGACAUUUGAGCAAUUGUGGAAAGAUCGUAGCUUUAAUUAUUGGAAUUAAUUUCUCUUGCAUUAUUUGAUGUUAUUAAGUCGAUUUUGGUUAGAUUUGUGCCGAGCGGAGGUGAAUUGUAAAGGAAAAGUUAUUUUUGAGGAUUAAUUGAGGGCGUUUUAGGUAAGUAUCUUGCCUAACGUUGUGUGGGGGAACUACGCUGUAGGGAUUGGUUUGUUUGGACUAUUUGAACUACGUGAAAGACGUAUACACGAGGUGACGAGUGUGUGGACAACUUAUAUAUGGAAAUUUGACUGGCUUAGACUUUUAGGUUCUUAUGUACAUUAGAAUGAAGUUGUCUUAUCAUGUUAAAUCUUCUAUUGCUAAAUUUACCCUUACGUGUUUUAUUUGAAGUUAAUUGAUUCAUGUCCUACCCUUGUUGCCAAAUAUACUCUUAUAUACCCCAAUUGAAGUUGUUGCCUCUUCUAUUGCCAUGUUAUCUCUUUCAUAAUUGAUUAACCUUAAUUGAAGUUAUUUUUAUCCCUUCCAUUGUUGACUUAUCUAUAUUUGAAAUCAUUGUGUUACACCCCAUGUUUUCAUAUGCAAAAGUACGUCGUAAGUCAAUUGAUGUAAGCUCGGAAAUGAGAUCAUCUUUGAAAACUUUAUAAAGUAAGUUAAUCAUGUUACUGUGAAGAUUACAAAUAUUUAAGACCACGAAUGCCAAGUACCAAGAGGGUUGGAAGGAUUAGAAGCUAAACGAAUUGAAGAAAAUAAGUUUCGCCGAAAAUUGACAAGUUGGGAAUGUUAUAACAUGUACUUUUGGGGUGAAACUAUGGUGCUUAACAUUAUAAGGAGGUUAUGUUAUGAUUUAUUUUAGUUUUAUGAUAUUCGUGUGUUAUUUUUUGAAGUCAAGUGAGUUGUGGAACAAAAGUUGGCAAAGGUCAUCACAAGUUACAUUCAUAAAUGUGUUGAACAUUAGGUCAAAUGUAGCUGAGCUUUUCUCCCAAUAUACUUGGAAUUAUAAGGUGAUCUAUCUACCAAAUCGAAGCUCUACGAGUGUAGUUUCUAACGCAUUAAACCAUUUGUCGCUACAACAUUGGAGUAGAGAGAUAUUUGUAUUAUUCCGAGACUGCACAAGCAGCACCCAAUGGGACCCACUUAGGCGGUGGUCGACCUACUUCACUUUAAAAACGAUUUGGACGACCUUUAUUUUUCAUUUUACGACCCAACCUCGUCCUUACACUCCUCCUAACCCUCCUAAGCAAAUACCAUAGGGGUUUGAAGUGCUUCCAAUGUGAUUACACCAUAUUUCAACAACAAAAGUUAGUUCUAGUGAAGAACAACACCUCUUUGAGGUUGUGUUGUCAUUGAGGAUAAUUGUGGGCUGUGUUUGUCAGAAAUUUUAAGUUGUUGCUACUGUCUAAGGUGAGUAUAACAGCCUACUAAUUGUGCUUAAGCUUUCUUAUAUGUUGGUUAAGUUGUUAGGAUGAUAAACUAUAAGAUAAUACUUGGAUUAGCUUGAGAUGUUGUUGUUCUUGAUGGAUUGAUUUGAAAGUUGCUCUUAUGAACUUUAAGUGGCUGGAAAUUAUGGAAACUAAGUUGACUAUGAUAUUUUUAGUAUGAUUAUUUUGGUUUACAUGUCAAUCGUGUUGAGGAAAUUGGUAACUAUAAAAGGAAAUGGCUAUAAAGCACUUGGAAGUUGUCGACAGUGAUAUUAUCUUGUGUUGGGCUAUUUCGGGUAACUUUAAAAUUGAGUACAAGGUUGGAAAUCUAUUUAAAGGUAUUUGUUAUUAUAUUGUAUAUAUUACUAAGUUUGUGAAUGAAUGAUAAUGGGGUUUAAGGGUGCUAAAGUGAUUCAAUCCGAGAAUGUCGCUCGUCGUGAUAUGUUGAUGACUUGUUAAUGAAAUAUUUUAUACCCUAUUGUUGAUGUUGUUCUUAUUGAAUUGAUCUGGUUGUUGUUGUUGGAUAUGGUAUUGGAGUAGUCCCUAGUUACAGGGGAUAUGCUUCCCAAAUUUAUAUAAAUGAGCAACUAGUUUAAGUUGCGAACUUAGCCUUUACUCAAUACUGAUUUUGAAUCUCCUUAUGCUAUGGUAGAUUGAGUUGAGUUGUUUGAAGAAUCACUUGGAAGGUAUUAAGGACUCCUUCAUUUUGGCAUGAUCUCAUAACUACAUGCAUUUGAUAACGAGACAUAAAGAGCAGUUAGUACUCCUGAAUUUAUGNNNNNNNNNNNNNNNNNNNNNNNNNACAGUAUUUUCACCACCAUCGAGCUAUAAUCGGUGGGCAGGCCCCUAUUGGCAACCUCUGAUUAGAUGGUAAGUUAUAUACCGAUCCUACUGUGGCCUAGCGCCUAUGAUAGAGCCCAAAAUGGCCGAGAUAUAGAGCCUAGUAUGGCCGAGCACCUAUGAGCGAGCCUACUACGGCAGAGCAGUUAUAUGUACAGAGCCUUAUAGAGCCAAAUAGCUAUUUUACUUACUAUAUUGAGAGAGUUGAGUCAGUAUCAGCAUGUAAGCAUAUCUUCAGAUUAUCUUUGACUCCUAGUUACUUUCAGUUGUUAUAUUAUCAGUUUAGUCUCAGCUUUCAGUUAUUCUAUUGUCUAACAUACCUAGUACAUGACGUCCCUUUUGUCGGGGACACUGCAUUUCAUGCCUUCAUGUACUGAUAGACAGUUGGAUAGACCUUCCCAGUAGACAGAGUCAAAUAUCAGCUUGGUUGGUAAGCUCCAGUUUCUCAGAGUUACCAGGUCUAGACCUUGGAGUCCAUUAUAUAUAUAUAUAGGUUUGAUGGGUAGGUCGAGGCCCUGUCCUGACCAUAAUACGGUUCAGUUAUCUCUAGAGGCUUGUAGACGAGUCCUGUGCAUUUUGUAUAUCGGUAUUGUGGCCUUGCCAGCACUAAGUAGAAUUUCUAUUUGGUAUUGCUGUUUGUAGACUUUAUUUUCAGAUGAUUCAGAAUAUGUCCUCAUCGGCCUUGACUUGGAUGGUCAGCUUGCAGGUAGGACUCACUGACCUAAGUUGAGGGCUACCCCUCCAGAGUUCAUAGUUACAGAGUAGUACGUUCGGCCGAGUAUGGCACCAGGUGCCGGCCACGCCCCCUCCCCCCCCCCCAAGUUUGGGGCGUGACAAACUUGGUAUCGAAGCAGCUUUAUCCUAAGGAACCUACAAGACGUGUCUAGUAGAGCCUUGUUUAUAGAUGUUUUGUGCACCACAUUAUAUAAACAUGAAGCUACAAGGCAUUUAGGAGUAUGUUACCUUUCUUUCAAAUCUAAAUCGUGUUAUAGAGCUAAGUCAUAAGAGUUUGAGCAAGAACUUAUGUUUGCUAAUGAUACAGAGAUAUUUGCAAUUAGAGAGAUUUAGACCUAUCCAGAGGGCUAAUACAACAACAGGUAAGGGCACUAAUAGAGAGAGAGUUCUUGAUGACGUUUCCUAGUUUGAGGCCCUAUCAAAUCGUGCAUAUCAGAUGUGCAAAUUUCCUGCUUAAGACCAUAAGACGGGAAUAUCUAACAUACCCCAUGAAUAGCAGGCCAUGGGGAGUAUCAUAAGGUAAAAUUAUAAGUAUUAACAAGUAAAAUAAGCAAGGUGAAGAAGGGUAUAAGGUACCCAAUUAGUGAGGAUUAUCUGUAUUUACAAUUCAGGCAAAUAAAUAUAAGCAUUCUGAGUUAGCUUCAAUAGUAACAGAGGUAUGUAAAAUUGGCCAUACCCAUCUCAGUUAUACUCUAUGGGAGCUAACAGAUAUAGUUUAAGAGAAGGAUGGGAUAUCAAGAUCCAGCUGGGGUUAGAGUAACCCAAAAUGGUGGUACACUCUAGAAUAGUAUAGUUAGAUAUGAAUACUAGAAUGUUCACAAAUUUCAGAAGAAAGGCAGUGGAAUCCUAGAAGGGAUAAAUAUUUACCUUAGUAUGGCUCACGUCCCUAGUAAAGAGAGAAUGUUAGGCGACCAGAGGAGCCAAGCCAGUGGAUGGAGAAAGGGGAGCAAAAAGUGAUAUUAUGUUUUGUUGAAGUUUCCAGAAUAAGGUAAUAAACAGAAACGUUAGCAGGAGAAUAAGAAAAGAGUAAAUGAAUCACUAUAUGUAAGAUGUGAUAAAAGGUUAAUAACGGUAAAUCAAAAUAUGACAGGAUGACAGAGUCUAUAGUCAAGUGAAGGAAAAGACAAGAGGUGAUAGGCCUUGAGACAAUAAAACAGCAUAAGCCAUAAAUUCAUACCUUCAUUUCAAGAAAUGAGUUGGUGAAUCCAACGUGAUUACCAGAAAGCUAAGUUAGACCUCCCCCCCCCCCCCCCCGAGUAAUAGAAAUCAGUAUGGGCUAGUGAACAAGAUAGAUUGAACAUGAAUUAGGGAUCGGAAGAUUUGAUAAUAGUCGACAGAGUGAGAAUUUCAGAAAUUGUGUUCCUGCAAUAAUAGAAUGGACAAAACAAGAAUAACCUUCAAUGGUCAUUCAGGAAGACGCUUCCCUAAAGCAAGCAUUGUGAACAGAGUUAAAAUUAAGGGACUAAGUGUGCUAGUUACACUAGGUGUCCCCCUCAUGCGUAAGAAAUUCAGUUAUCCUUAGUACGUAAGGGUUACCGCAAGGCGAGUAAAGACCAUCGAAGAUGUGAAAAGACGCCGAAGAUGAAGAGGUAAAACAUCUACCGGUAAAACUUCAUAGCAUUAAAUUUAGUACUUCCCUAAAAGGGGUAAGAUGGUAUGAUAUGGUAUUAAUUCGGAGUUAAGUGAUUUAGGUAAAUAUAAAAUGGUAAAGGAAGAAUACAGUAAAAAGGCGAAAGGAAUGAGAUUGCAUUUAAUCAGAUCCUAGAGAUGUGUCACGACUCUAGAACAUUAUGCAAGAACGAUGCCGGGGAAAGGCAGUAAGGGUUCCCGCAUAGGAUUUUAGUAAGAAAUAAGAGCGAGUGAACACUUGAUACAUAAGGAGCUAGUGUAAUAGGUAAGUUAAGACAAAGGAAAUAACCCAAGAGAGAUUACGCGAAAUAUAGAUAUGAGAAUGGACCAACGAGUAGUUAGUAGUUGAUUCCGGAAGAGUCUAGUUAUGGCCAAACGAGAGGUUACAGAUAAAUCAACAUAUCAUGCAAGAUAAACGUAAUGAACCCCAACAAAGGGAAAUCAGUCUCGCAGAUAUGACAUCGUAAUCCUUGAGAAAUAUUCAAAUAAGAGUUAGGGUAGUUAAUGGUACUGUAUAAGUGUUACGGAUAUAAAAAGAGAGUUCCAUUGGGGAUACAAUCAAACUUUGAGUUCGGAGGUAACCCUAAGAGCACAAGGGCACUGAGGUAAGUAACUAAGAAUAUUUAUAGGAGAGUAAGAACAUCAAAGAUUAUAUCGGGUAUAUGAUGUAAUAAGCUCGUAGCUUUACAAGAGUUAGAGGGUCUUCCCUAAAUAUAACAACAAAAGACUAGUAGAGGAAAUAAGGAAGAAUGUUUCAUCCUAAACAUAGUAACUAGAAAAAGAAAUAAUCUUGUAACAAUAGUCUCACUACAACAUUGUAUGCACGCUAUAAGAAAGGGGCACCUAUCGUGGCUAAUGAACGGGAAGUAAAAAAAAUCAAAAACAAAAUCAAAAGUAAUAUUCGAGAUUAUAUGAGUUGCAAAAAAUUCCAAUAUGUGUGGGCACUAAGUUAAGCCAAGUAUUCAUGCAACAAGUGGCCGAACGACCAAGAAAAGUAAUUGCUUACAUUUAAAGGCAAAUGAGAAGGCAUGAAGGGAAUUACUUGACCUAUGACCAUGAAUUAGUUAUGUUAUGAACCCACUUAAGAUUUCUGAGUAUUAUCCAUGUAGCAUAUAUGUUGACAUUCAUACAGCCGUAGAAGACUCUGGUAUAAGUUAAAAGAAAGAAUUGAGUCCAGGUCACAAACAAAGACUUGAAUUGUUAGAAGAUUAUGUCAUGGAUAUUCCAUAGCGUCCAUGAAUGGCUAAAGUAAUAACUAAUAUAAUGAGCCGCAUAUCGGAAGAUAGCUUAAGCCUACAUAAAGGUCGAGAGAGAAGAGGAAACUAAUGAGUUACAUCAGUUAAGUAAAUCAAGAAUCUAAUUAUUAGACAAAGAUAAUUAUAGAAAUCAUGAUUGAGAACAUUGCAGAAUCUCUAUUAAUAUCAGAGGUACAAGAGAGAUAGUACAACAACCAUAUUCUAUAAUGGCUCUAUGAUAAAGCCAGUUAAAAGAGUACCAACCUCAUAAGAAGUCAGUAUGAAGCUCCCAACAGGUUGUGUAUGCACUAGAGGUGCAUGCAUUAUAGUAGAUUAAGGUGUGGAUGUGAAUUCCACCCAUGUUAAAGGGAGGUUAUGAAAGUGACAGAAGAUACAAUGCAAGAUUUAAAGGUAAGAAAGGUAAAGGUAAAGAAGGUAUGAGAUACUCAAGUGCAGAAGGUUGUGAAUAGUCCAAACUUCAGAUAGAGGUCUAGAAGCGUCGUGAUUCAGUAUCCAAAAAUGAUAGUGGUGUCGUCAGUAGCAUAUCUUCCAUCCUAUGGUUUCCAGGUACCUAGAGGUCAAGUUAAGAGAGUAAAGAAGAGUUAGAGACAACAUGAUGUCUCGCUUGAGGUUCCAGAAUAACAUAAGGAAAUCUAUGGUGCUAGGUAGUUAAAGGAAGGUUGUGAGUAGUAUAGAUAGAUAUGUGUAGGUCACAAGCUAAAGCAUUAUAGAGCAACAAGGUUUUAUGUAGACAUGAGUAAGGAUAAGAAAAUUUGAAUGAGAAGGUGACAAGAAUAGGUAAGGCCUCGGGAUUAAGCCCAUCAAAUUAAGAGAGUUGAUGGUUUUCGUAAGUUAUAGAAAGCUUUGUAUAGCUUGAAUGAACUCGGAGGAGUAUAAGACUAGGAGCAUUUAGAAGAGAUAGAAUGCUGCCCUAGUAGUAGAAUAAGGAUGUAACUGUGAUAAAUGAUAAGGGGAUGACAUUUAGGCCUUCGAUUGAGUAAUGAUUCAAAGAUAAGGGAUUUCAUGAAUUACAUGGUAUUAGAAUAUCCCCAUAAGAUGAAUCACAUUGGGAUGCUAUGAAAUAUGGUUAUUGAAGAAUAGUAUCGUCCCUUGGUGGAUCAGGAAAAUAACUUUAGAUGUUCCCCGAUGAGACAUGAGCCCUAGUGACAAUGUAUUACAUACGAGGUUUCAAGUUAUCAGUGGUAGAUUAUAGAUCAACAUUAAGGAUAAUCAACAAUAGAUGGAUAAAAGUUCCAACGUAUGAUAUGAGAUUAGGCUGUCUUCUUAAGAUGAAAAGUAAUGAGAAAGCAUUAAGGGACUUAGAUUUAUACAUAUAGGAUAAGCAGCGAGAGAGUAACCUGGAGUUAGGUAGCAGACCUUGGUAAUAAUAAAACGAAGUAAGUGUUAUGGUACAGUAUAAGCUACCUAGAUAUAGUAAAGCCAUAAGCAUAGCUAACCGAGUCUAUGAGACAAGAUAUAGCAAUAGUCAUAAGUUCGAUAGGUACCGAGCGAAGAACUUCAGUACACCUAUGGAUGCCUAGAGGGACAUCUUGUCAUAGUUCUGUAUAUGUUCACAAAGUGAGGCCUAAAGAUUGGCUAAAAGCUAGAGGACAUAGGAGAAAAGGGGUCACAUAUACGCACAUAUAAGGACAGAGUCGUACAAGCUGCAUGACAUAAGGUAGCAACAGUUACGAGAUUGGAAGAAUUCUGACCACAAGUCGUGGUGUGAGAGAGAGGCAUAAAGGGGGGAAUUCCCUGGCCUUUGGAUUUAUUCACAGAACGGUUGCAUAGAUGGAAAAGAUAGCGGUAAAGUAUUUGUAAGAGCUAUAUGUUAUAAGACUGAUAAUCGCACCAGUCAACAUUCGAAGACGAAUGUUCCAAAGGGGAGAAUGAUGUUACACACUGUGUUUUCGUAUGUAAGAGUACGUCGUAAGUCAAUUGAUGUAAGCUCAAAAAUGAGAUCAUCUUUAAAAAGUUUAUAAAGUAAGUUAAUCAUUUUACCGUGGAGAUUACAAAUAUUUAAGACCACGAAUACCAAGUACCAAGAGGGUUGGAAGGCUUAGAAGCUAAACGAAUUGAUGAAAAUAAGGUUCGCCGAAAGUCGGCAAGUUGGGAAUGUUAUAACAUGUACUUUUGGGAUGAUAUUAUAGUGAUUAACAUUAUAAGGAGGUUAUGUUAUGAGUUAUUUUAGUCGUAUGAUAGUCAUGUGUUAUAUUUUGAAGUCAAGCUAGUUGUGGAACAAAAGUUGGCAAAGGUAAUAACAAGCUACAUUCAUAAAUAUGCUGAACAUUAGGUCAAAUGUAGCUGAGAUUCUCUCCCAAUAUACUUGUAAUUAUGAUGUGAUCUACAUACCAAAUUGAAUAUUUAUGAGUCUAGUUUCUAAUUUAUUAAACCAUUCAUCGAUACAACAUCGGAGUAGAGAGAUAUUUGUAUUUUAGUGAGACUGCGCAAUCAGCUUCCAAGGGGACCCACUUAGGCGGUGGUCGACCUACUUCACUUUAAAAAUGAUUUGGACGACCUUUAUUUCUCAUUGUUUCGACCCAACCUUGUCCCUACACUCCUCCUAACCCUCCUUAACAGAUACCAUAAGGGUUUGAAGAGAUUCCAAAGUGAUUACACCAUAUUUCAACAUCAAAAGUUAGUUCUAGUGAAGAACAACACAUCUUUGAGGUGGUGUUGUCAUUGAGAAUAAUUGUGGCCUGUGUUUGGCUGAAAUUUCAAGUUUUGACUACUGUCUAAGGUGAGUAUAACAGCCUACUAACUGUGCUUAAUCUUGCUUGUAUGUUGGUUAUGUUGUUAGGAUGAUAAACUACAAGAUAAUACUUAGAUUAGCUUGAGAUGUUGUUCUUGAUGGAUUGAUAUGAAAGUUUCUCUUAUGAUCUUUAAGUUGCUGGAAAUUAAGGAAAAUAAGUUGGCUAUGAUACUAUUAAUAUGAUUAUGUUGGUUUACAUGUCAAUCUUGUUGAGGAAAUUGGUAAUUAGAAAAGGAAAUGGCUAUAAAGCACUUGGAAGUUGUCGACAGUGAUAAUAUCUUGUGUUGGGCUAUUUCGGGUAACUUUAAAAUAGAGUACAAGGUUGGAAAGCCUUUUAAAAGUAUUUGUUAUUAUACUGGAUAUAUUACUAAGUUCAAUAAUGAAUGAUAAUUGGGUUGAAGGGUACUAAAGGGAUUCAAUCUGAGCUUGCCGCUCGUCGUGAUAUGUUGAUGACUUGUUAAUGAAAUAUUUUGUACCAUAUUGUUGAUGUUGUUCUUAUUGAAUUGAUAUGGUUGUUGUUAUUGGUAUAUGGUAUUGGAGGAGGCCUUAGUUACAGGGUAUAUGCUGCCCAAAUUUACAUAAAUGAGCUACUAGUUUAAGUUGCAGACUUAGCCUUUACUCGGCACUGAUUUUGAAUCUCCUUAUGCUAUGGUUGAGUUGUUUGAAGAAUCGCUUGAAAGGUAUUAAGGACUCAACAGAGUUACGGUAUGUUAAGGCUAAAACUUUCCUUCAUUAAUGCAUGAUCUCAUAACUAUAUGUGUUUGACAACGAGACAUAAAGAGCAGUUAGUACUCCUUAAUUUAUGCACAUUAUCCUAGUCUCAUAAAUUAUCGUAUUUUCUCCAUUAUCUANNNNNNNNNNNNNNNNNNNNNNNNNNNNNNNNNNNNNNNNNNNNNNNNNNNNNNNNNNNNNNNNNNNNNNNNNNNNNNNNNNNNNNNNNNNNNNNNNNNNNNNNNNNNNNNNNNNNNNNNNNNNNNNNNNNNNNNNNNNNNNNNNNNNNNNNNNNNNNNNNNNNNNNNNNNNNNNNNNNNNNNNNNNNNNNNNNNNNNNNNNNNNNNNNNNNNNNNNNNNNNNNNNNNNNNNNNNNNNNNNNNNNNNNNNNNNNNNNNNNNNNNNNNNNNNNNNNNNNNNNNNNNNNNNNNNNNNNNNNNNNNNNNNNNNNNNNNNNNNNNNNNNNNNNNNNNNNNNNNNNNNNNNNNNNNNNNNNNNNNNNNNNNNNNNNNNNNNNNNNNNNNNNNNNNNNNNNNNNNNNNNNNNNNNNNNNNNNNNNNNNNNNNNNNNNNNNNNNNNNNNNNNNNNNNNNNNNNNNNNNNNNNNNNNNNNNNNNNNNNNNNNNNNNNNNNNNNNNNNNNNNNNNNNNNNNNNNNNNNNNNNNNNNNNNNNNNNNNNNNNNNNNNNNNNNNNNNNNNNNNNNNNNNNNNNNNNNNNNNNNNNNNNNNNNNNNNNNNNAUUUUGUAUAUCAGUAUUGUGGCCUUGUUAGCACUAUGUAGAUGUUCAGUUUUGUAUUGCUGUUUGUAGACGUUAUUUUCAGAUGAUUCAAAAUAUGGCCUCAUCGGCCUAAGUUGAGGGCUACCCUUCCAAAGUUCAUAGUUAUAGAGCGGUAUGCUCGGGCCGAGUAUGGCAUCAGGUGCCAGCCAUGCCCCCAGGUUUGGGGUGUGACACAUUGUUACAAGUUAUCUCUCUUAUCGUUGAGUUGUACCUAUUUGGAAUCAUUGUUACUUGUUUUCUCUAUUAUCGUUGAGUUGUACCUAUUGGAAUCAUUGUUACAUGUUACCUCUCUUAUCAUCGAGUUGUACUUAUUUGGAAACAUUGUUACAUGAUAUCCCUUCAAUUGGUGAGUUACUCUUAUUGGAUAUCAUUGUUACAUAUUAUCUCUCCCAUGUCCUUCAUUGUGAGCUCGUUCUUUCGUUUCUUUACGUUUUGUAAUUCUUUUGUUGAUUACUUGUCAUUCUCUAGUGUUAUUGUUGUGUUAUUAAUGUACUCAGUGUUGUUGAGCCGAGGGCUAUGUGUGGUUGUGGUAUUGGAAUUGUUUUGAGGAAGUAUUGUAGCAUAUGGGCACAUGUGGUGCGAGUCAUUAUAUUGUGUUAUUAUGUUUUUGGCACAUAUGAUAUUGUUGAGAGGAUUGCCGGGGUGUUCGCAUGUGAGUUGUCUGUGCUAUUGUUAUUGAUAAUGUGACAUGCGGCGUCAUAAGGCGGGCUAUAUAUAUAUGUAUGGUUUUCGCAUGUGGCUAGACAAGGAGGGAAUAUUAUUAUGUGCAUGCGGCGAGAAAAGACGGGUAUUUACUUUAUUGUUGUGCACGUGGCGAGACAGGGGGGGCUAUGUCGGGGAUGAUUUGUGAUGGCCUGGAGGCAUUGUUAUUGAUGAUAUUUGUGUAGUGGUGUGCCUACCUUGUGUGAGUUAUGCACUUUUACUUUUUGUUAUGUUGUUUCCUAUGUGACAUUCAUUGUCUCAACUCAUACUUGUUGACUCAAAUAGUGAUAGAACACUUGCACAAGCAUAAAAGUAAUUAAUCACUCAUAUCGGUUUAAGAAGAUGAAUCCAGAUAUUGAUUGAUCAUUUACAUGUAUUCUCGUUUACUUGCCUUUUGUGUGAGAGUUGUACUAUUGGCAUGUGAGAUGUUCGUGCGGUUAUGAGUUAUGGUUAGUGUUGGCACGUAAGUUGUCCGUGCGGUUAUGAGUCAUUAUUAUUGUUGGCACAUGAGAUGUCCGUGCGGAUAUGAGGGAGUGUUACUCCCUUCGCACGUAAGUUGUCCGUGUAGAUAUGAGGUACUAAUAGUAUUGAUACAUGAGUUGUCCGUGUAGAACGUGAGUUGUUCGUGUAAUUGUGAAUAUUAAUGUGGGCACAAGAUGUCAAGUGAUUCAGGUUCGUGACUUGGGACCCGCGAAUUGUGGUAAUGAGGUGUGGUACAUUGUGAAUAUUAAUGUUUCACCCAACCUUGACUGUAUUCAGCUUACUCCAUGGCGUUAUUACCCAUUUGUUCCUUGUUGCAAAUUAUUGCUUCUAGUUUUCUAUUGCAAGUAUCGUUAUCAUUUUAUCAUGCUUAGCUUUAUAUUGAUAUUGUUCCCUGUUAGUUUCACAUUUAUACUUGCAUAGGCUAUUAUGUCUAGUAGGUGUCUUGACUAUUCCUCGUCACUACUCUACCGAGGUUAGUCUUGAUACUUACUGGGUACCACCGUAGUGUACUCAUGCUACACUUUCUGCACAUUUUUGCGCAGAUCCAGGUACUACGGAGUUAGUUGAUCACUAGUUAGCUGACCGAGUUUUGCCGCAGAGACUUAAAGGUAUACCUGUCGUCGCGUUCGCAUGCCUCAGAUUCACCUUCUGAAGUUAUUUUGUACAGUCUAUUUCUAUUUCGGCUCUGUUGUAAUUAGAGAUUUUCUAGUGAAUUUAGUAGAGCUUAUGACUUGUACUACCGAUUUUGGAAUAUUGUGUCAUGUUGGGAUUCUUGGCUUUAUAUAGAAAUAUAUGGUUACCUAGUAAAUGUUAGGCUUAUCUAGUCUUAUAGACUAGGUACCAUCACGACAUCCUACGAAGGGGAAGUUGACAAAGUUGGUAUCAUAGCUCUAGGUUCAUCGGUGCUACGAGUCAUAAGCAACUUUAGUAGAUUUUUGUGGAUCCGUAUGGAGGCAUCUGUAAUUAUCUUCGAGAGGCUACUAAACUAUUAGGAAACUUCAUUUCUUUCAUUCCAAUCGUGCGAGUUUAUUGAUUUUGGAGUUUGAACCUUUAUCAUUCUAUUCUCUCACAGAUGGGGAGAACAUGAGCUGCAGUUACCGAUGACGCUGCCCCCAAAGCCGGUGUUUCUAGAGGUUGGGGCAGAGGUAGAGGCCGAGAAGCAUCACGUGCUACAGCUAGAGCACCUACCAGAGCAGCAGCUGAGGGGCCACUAGUAGCUCUGAUUAGGCACCGGAGGCGCCUGUUGGCUCAGGCGAUAUUCAUUCUGGUUGCACCAGCUACUUCACAGACCAGGGGAGGAGCUCAGACUCCUGCCGCCUGUACUCCAGAGUAGCGAGUCCACGGUUGUCAGGUUCCAGGUGUUAUGCCAGCACAACCUUUUGUUCUGGUUCAGCAAGCAGUUAGGGUAGCAACAUCUGAGGAUGAGCAGCUUAGGCUUGCGAGGUUCAAGAAGUAUCACCCUCAUACUUUCAGUGGUUUGGCUUCAUAGGAUGCACAUAGUUUUCUAUAGGAGUGCCAUCGUAUUCUCUGCACCAUUGGUAUUGUGGAGAUGAGUGGGGUUGCUUUUACUACAUUCCAGCUGUCAGGAAUAGCGUAUUAGUGGUGGCCAUGUACGAGGAGGAUAGCCUAGCCGAUGCAGCUUCACUUUCAUAGACUCAAUGUUUGGAGGUGUUCUUGAGAGAGUUUGUUCCCCAGACCCUUCAGAAUGCAUGGCACGUGAAGUUUGAGCAUCUGCGCUAGGGUACUAUGUUAGUGUCAGAGUAUGUUGUUAGAUUUAGUGAUUUGUCCAGGCAUGCACCUGCUUUGGUUUCUAUAGUUAAAGAGUGAGUCCAUAGGUUCAUUGAGGGGGUCAAUUAUGGUAUCCGAUUCAGCAUGGCUAAGGGAGUUUGCGAAGGAUGUUCUGUUUUAAUAGGUGGUAGAUAUCGCUCAUAGAUUAGAGGGUAUGCGGGGUCAGGAGAGAGAGGACAGGGAGGCUAAGAGGCCUCGUUGACAGGUAGGAUCUACUGGUUCCUAUUUUGGAGGCGGGGUGCGCCAUAGUAGAGGUUUUGUGGGUCAGCUAGCUUAGUUUGCACUUCAGGCUUCACGUGGUGUUUCAGAUAUCCAUGGAUCCCAGAGUAGCCAUAUCAGACAACUUUCACAGCCACAUCAGCGGAGAGGUUGCUUUGAGUGUGGAGAUACCAACCACAUGGUGAGAGAUUGUCCUAGACUCCGGACAUAUAUGCCACAACGGGGUAUUCAGGCUACUAGUUCUGCUCCAAUUGCUAUUGUACCUGCACCGCCAGCUAGGGGUGGAGGUCAGGUGGGUAGAGGUUGCCCUAGAGGGGGAGGUUGUGCCCAUUGUUAUGGUCUUCCUGGUUGGACAGAGGCUGAUACACCAGAUGAUGUCCUUACAGGUAUGGUUUUAGUUGAGUAUAGAGAUGCAUUUGUGUUACUUCGAUUUUGUGAGAUUUAUCCUACCUUGCUUCAGAUAUGGUUGUGUUUUGUGAUUCUUGUACUAUGUUCAUGUGUUCACGGUAGUUGAGAAUUUUAUUGUGAUAGCCCGUGUCGAUCAUUCUGGUUUGGUUGUUAUUGUAGGUCAUGAGACAUGGGUGGACUUCCUGUUAGUUAAAUAUGGUUGGAUUUGAUAUGAUCUCCGGAUGGUUUGGCCCAACUUGUAGUUUGGGUGCUCUACAGGUAUGGGGAGUUGUUUUGUGUUGUGGUUUUGGUUCUACGGGGUUAUUUAGUAGGAUGGUUUAGUUGCUGAGAUGUUAAACUUACUCAUGAUUCCGAGUGGAGGAUGGGGACUUGGUGUUCUUGGUGGAUAGGUGUGUCUAUGAUGGGCUACGCGCCGUGGAGAGGUCAUAUUAAGGUAAGAUUUAUUCUGGUAGUUGCAUGUAUCUUGCUUCUUCCUUGAGUAUUAGAUCCUUAGUAUGGUAUCAGUGGGGAGUUGUGCCUGUUUGGCUUGUUUGACGGUUCUCUCAUGUGUUCCCCUUUCCAUAUUCAGUCAUAUUCGAGUUGUGCUUAUUGGGUUUAGAUUGCGAUGUAUAUGCCCAGGUGGCGCUUGAAGUGGCUUCUUGAUCGGAUGAGUAGUUAUGAGUUUCACAUGUUUCUUGCAUUAUUUUUAGCGUUGUGAAUGUUUGGAACAACGUUCUAGUCGAUAUGAGUAUGUUUGUCGGCACCGGGCUUGGUAAUGGGCAGAUAUUGUGGUCAAAGUUGUUGCUAUAGAGAUAUGGAUGAUGUGUUAUGUCGUGUGGUUAUACUUUGUGGGUGUAUGCAUGAGUUGUUGUAGCUAGUUGAGGAUUUUACAGUGUGUUUGUGUGAUAAUAAGGGCUUUGGUAGAUGUGGAAGUUUUAUUCUAAGGCUUUUCGGCAUAAGUAGAAGGAAUAAUAUCCGGUUGGGAUGAUGUUGUCGGGCUUAUGUGGGUUGGGGUAACGUAGGACAACCCAUGUGUAUGUGCAUGGUGAGUUUAUACAGUGAUUUGAUGGCUUGGGAAAGACUCUUGGCACGUUCGAGGACGAACGUUUGUUUAAGAAGGGGAGAAUGUAACGACCCGACCGAUCGUUUUGAGCUUUAAGGUUCCGUCCAGGGGUUCGAGGUAUUAAGUAGAUUCUUAUUGUGUAUUAUGUUGCGUGCAUGCUCGGAUUUGAUUUUUGGAUGAUUCAGAAUGAAUUUGGAUGAGUGGUUCUCACUUUAGGAGCUUAUGUUGAAAAUAUUCACCGAGGUUUGACUUUUGUGAAAACGACCCCGAAAUGGUGUUUUGAUAGCUCUGAUAGGUUUCUAUCAUGAAUUUGGACUUGGGAGUAUUCCCGAAAUCGAUUUCGAAGGUCCGUAGGUUGAUUUCUGUUAUAUUGCCGAAAGUUGGCAAUUUAAAGGUUUAGGAUUUUGAUAAGUUUGAUCGUAAGUUGACUUCGUAGCUAUCGUGUUUGGAUUUCUAUUUUGGGACUUGGAAUAAGCCCAUUUUGUCAUUCGGAACUUGUCAGUAAAUUUGGGGUGAUUUCGAGUUGAUUUGGUAGGAAUCGGACGCGCGGUUGUAUUUUUAUAAGUUCCUGAGUUUCAUGUUGAAUUCAUGUGUUUUAUGGUCUGAUUCGUGGAUUUGGACGUUAUUUUGAUAAUUUGAUCGCACGAGCGAGUUCGUAUUAUGUUUUUAGACUUGUGUUGAUGUUUGAUUUGGAGCCCCGAGGGCUCAGGUGAGUUUCGGAUGCAUUUCGGAGAGUUCAUAGGAGGUUCAGAUUUUUGCAGGUGCUCAGAUCUCGUAUUUACGAGAAAUAAGUCGCAUUUGUGACUGCCACAUUUCUGAGCUUCAUUAUUGCAUUUGCGAAGAACACAGUGGCUUGAAGAGUUCGCAUUUGCGAACACCCCAUUGCAUUUGCGAUGCUGGCCUGGGCUGGGCAUUGGUCGCAUUUACGAUCACUAUGAUCGCUUUUGCGAAUUGUCCAUGUUCGCAUUUGCGAUGGAUUCCGCGAAUUUUCGGGGUCCCCGGGUCGCAAUUGCAACACCUGCGACUGGACAAAAAAGCUGAGGGACGGGAUUUUUGGUCUCAUUUUCAUAUUUUGGAACCCUAGACUCGGUAGGACACGAUUUUAAAGAGGGGUUUUCAUCUAGAAACUUUAUGUAAGUGAUUCCAAUCUAUUUCUAAUUAUAUUCCCUCAAUAUAUCUUAGAUUUUAACAUCAAAAUCUAGUGAAUCAAAGUAAAAAUUUGUGAAACUUUGUCAAGGUUUUGAAAUAUAAGAAUUUGAGUUUUGAGAGUCAAUUUGGACUCGGAUUUUUAAACUAACCACAUAUAUGAACUCGUGGGGUCAUGGGUAGUCGGAAUAUACCAUUGAACUCGGGUUUUGACAAGACGGGUGCCGGAUUAACUUUUGUUGACUUUUGAGCAAUUGUGUAAAGAUCGUAGCUUUAAUUAUUGGAAUUUAUUUCUCUUGCAUUAUUUGAUGUUAUUAAGUCAAUUUUGGUUAGAUUUGUGUCGAGUACGAUCCAAAAUCCAACUUGUCGUGAUGGCACCUAACCCAACCCGCUAGGUAAGCCAAGUUAACAAUAAUCCAAUUUCAAAUGAGAUCUACUAAGAUAAAUAAUGAUAUUAUAACUGAACUCUUAUACAAAGAAUCUCCAAAGACUGGUAGUACUAAUCAUGAGCUUCUAAGAUUUAGAGUUUACAAUAUGAAAUAAAUACAUCAUCUAUUUGAAGUGUACAUAAAUAGAUUUUUAUAAAUUUAAAGCUACCAUGAAUAAGAGGUAGCUACAACCGGAACGCAGGUUCAUCUUGACAGCCAGCUUUCGCCAUACACAUCAAAAUCAGCUCCAAAAUCUACACGCAAGGUGCAGAAGUGUAGUAUGAGUACAGCCGACCCUAUGUACUCAAUAAGUAACAUACCUAACCUUAGGUUGAAAGUAGUGACGAGCUUGGACAACGGUUAGAGUCCAACGCCAACAACCAAGAACAACUCGUAACAAUAUAAUGAAAAUAAUAUAAGUAAUACUCAAAGAUAUGAUGCUCAGCUUGUUCAUAGUUACGAAAAAUAGGCAUGCUUUUUAGGUAUAACAGUAAAACCCAAAUCUUUCACCGAAGUCACCAAAAUGUGAGUAUGUCAAAAAAACUAUGAUCUUUCCCAAAACAUUCAACAAUAGAUAAGAUGCUCCAUUAUCAGAUAGCAUGAGGAAAGUACAUCUCUAUGCCUACAUGUCAAUGUGUAUGAGAAGUCGUAAAUGUCACAUUACCGUAUAGCAUGAAGAAACGCAUCCCUAUGCCUACAAGCCAAGUACGCAUGCCAAAUGUAAUACACCAUAGUGAUAAACUCAUGUGCUCAUGCUCUCAGGGUAUUCAACCUCACUCAGCACACUCAAUCACUCGGCACCUCCCGAUCACUCAACACUCACAAUCACUCAGCACUCGCACUCGGCACUCGGCACUCGGUACAUGCGCUCACUGCUGGUAUGUCAGACUCCAGAGGGGCGGAUCCUCCCCAAGCGCAAAUAUAAACUAAUAUAGCAUGCUGCAGCGUACAGCCCGAUCCCAUAUAUAUUACUCACAAUCAAGCCCUUAGCCUCACUCAGUCAUCAAUCUCUCCAGUCUCUCAGGCUCACAAAUCUCAUGCCAAUUAGCCCAAACAAUGAUACAUGAUGUAAUAAUAAUUGAUAGCAGAAACUGAGAUAUGAUAUACAAAUGAUGAAAGUGACUGAGUACAUAAUUGCAAUUUAAGUAAAUAACUCAACAGCAGAAAUGACCUCAGUGGGUCCCAACAGGAUAAGCAUAUAGCCUAAACAUGGUUUCUAACAUGGAUCAUGGUUCAAUUUCUCUAGCACGUAGAAAUUUCAUGGAUAGAAAUAAGAUUAGGUAACUACACAGUACCACAGAAAUAACCGAGUCAUAAUUCAUACGGUGCACGACCACACGCUCAUCAUCUAGCAUGUGUGUAACCUCAACACCAAACACAUAACACAUAUAUUUAUGGGUUCAUACCCUUAGCACCAAGUUUAGAAGUGUUACUUACCUCGAACAAGCCAAAUCCAAUACCGCGCAAGCCAAAGAAUACUCUAGAAAUGCCAUCCCGUGUGUACCAACCUCUGAACGGCUCAAAACUAGCCAAAAACAACUCAGGAACAUCAAAUAAUGCCAAAGGAAACAAACUCAAUCGAUAAAGGUGGAAUCUUUAAUCAAAAGGUCAAACCUAGGCCUGCACCUCAAAAUCCGUCAAAACUCACAACAUCCGACAACCCAUUCAAUGAUGAGUCCAACCAUACUAGUUUCACACAAAUCCGACUCUGAAUCGAUGUUCAAAACUCAAAAACUCACUUUAUGAAAUUUUAGACAAAAACUACCAAAUUUCACUUUGAAAUCAUCAAUCAAAUAUCAAAAACAAAGAUGGAUUCAUGAAAUAUAACCAAAACUAAGUAUAGAAUACUUACCCCAAUCCAUGUGAUUAAAAUUGCCUCCAAAAUCGCCGAAAUCCGAACUCCCCAACUCAAAAUAUGACCAAAUAAACAAACUCUUGAUAUUAUAUGCUUCUGUCCAGCAGUUUUGCCUCAUUUCUUGUGCCAAAACGAUCCCAGAAUUUGCUUUUGAUGCCUCCAAUGAAUUCCUCAUGAAAUUUUAGUCACGCUGGGCUUUUGAAUCACUCCAUUUGACCUUAUAAUGAAGGAGAUAUGUUGGUUUCAAUAUUUGUAAAUAAUAUAAAUUUUUAAAUACGAAUUCAGUAGCAAUUCCGUAAUUAAUCUGAGAAAUCUGGCAACCCAAUUCUUAGUAAAAUGACCAUAAAUUCCUCAUACGAUGUCAAAACUUGAUAAUUUCAGUUGCUAUGGUUCCAAAAUUACGAUACGGAUCUAAUGCUUCAAUCAAAUAGAAAUUGGAGCUCAUUUGCUUAAUGGGGUACCAUUGAUGCUUGAAGAAACGACGUUGAAACAUCAAAAACGAGCGCAACACAAUCCAAACAUAUAUGAAACUCACCUGAUCCCCUCGGGACCCCGUCCGAACAUACCGACAAGUCCCAUAACAUAACACGGACUUAAUCGAGACUUCAAAUCACACAUAACAAUAUCAAAAGCACGAAUCGCACUUCAAAUCCAACUUAAUGAACUUUUGAACUUUCAACUUCUAAAACUCAUGUCGAACCAUAUCAAAUCAACUCGGAAUGACCUCAAAUUUUGCACACAAGUUCCAAAUGACAUAACAAAGCUAUUCCAAUUCCUAAAACAACAAUCCAAACUCGAUAUCAUCAAAGUCAACUUCCGGUCAAACUUAUGAACAUUCCAAACCUUCAAAUUGCCAACUUUCACCAAUUAGUGUCGAAACCUUCUUGAAAUAUCCAAAUGCAAAUUCGGGAACACGCCCAAGUCCAAAAUACCAUCCGGACCUAACGAAACUAUAAAAACUCCGAUCCGAGGUCAAAUACGCAAAAGCCAAACUUGGUUAACUCUUCAACUUAAAGCUUCAAACAUGAAAUUCAUUCUUCCAAACUAAUUCUGAAACACCUGAAAACCAAAACCGACGAUUCACACAAGUCUUAAUACAUCAUAUGAAGCUACUCAAGACUUUAAACGGCUGAACGGAAUGCAAAUUCUUAAACGACAGGUCUGGUCAUUAUAUUCUCCCCCUACUUAAACAUACAUCCGUCCUCGAACGUGCCCAGAGUCGUUUCCAAGCCGUCAAAUCGUUGUGUAACUUUACCAUGCACAUACCCGGGGGUGAUCCCACAUCACCCCAAAUCCACAUAAGUCCGACAACACAACAUAACUGAAGAUCAUUACUUCAACCUUAGUCCGUAGUCCCUAGAACCCAGUUUCUAACAUCCAAAAUUCCUUACAAGACCUGAAUCACGCAUCUACACAUUGUAUAAAUCUGAACAAGUUGUAUCAAGACAUAACCAUAACCCAAGAUGUAAUCACAUGAUAUACCACACAACUCACACACUAGUAGCAAUAAUUCCCCAUCACAAUAGCUGCUCAAAACAAACCUGAUACCUGUAGUAAACCCUCAAAUCAAAUAAAACCCCAUUUAAAACCUUCAUACACUACCGAUGAUGAAAGAAGCACACAGAACUCAUAAUCAUCCAUCAGAUCAACAAGUCAUGGAGCUCUCUCUCUCGUCCGAUAAGAACUAAAGCCAAAUCCUAAGCUGACUUUUUAUAUUAUUCUUCCAAACAAACCGUAAUCCAAUCCUAUAGUAUCCAUUCUAGGUCCAAUGACCUUAUCUCAUCAAGCACNNNNNNNNNNNNNNNNNNNNNNNNNNNNNNNNNNNNNNNNNNNNNNNNNNNNNNNNNNNNNNNNNNNNNNNNNNNNNNNNNNNNNNNNNNNNNNGCCACAAUCGUGCAAUCUGUGCACCAAUAAGCAACAAUUCAAAUGUACUCAAACAUGAAAAAUGACUCAAAUGGGAGAACCGUCCUGCAAGCCCAACAAGUGCCACCACUAACGCAAUGCUACGAACCCAUCACACAUAAUAGAACUGAAACACACGAAUCUAACUUAAAAGAUCAUAUCUCAACAUAACUCCGCUGCAACGCGCGACCCCAUCCAAACACCGGUCCUAUGAAAUACCUCAAGCCACAAUGCUCAAAUCAACAACCACAUGCAAUUCUACAUCAAGUACAUGAAGUGCAUGACCAUAACCAUGGAGAAGCGAAUAACACAAUAAGCCACAACUCGAAAAUACCAUAACCAAGGCGUUAUCAACCAUUCCGCACCCCAAUCACAAUCUCGCAUGAAUUUUGCUACAAGGCCCAAACAGAACCGCACCAUGUAUGCAUAUAACCAAUGAAUCACAACCCCUCGUAGCAUAGAAUAGUAACACAUAGAACAUUUCAGAACACGAACAAGCUCAACUCUAAUCGUAUGAUACACCUUUUAGCAAUAACGAUGAUGAGUCAACAAAUCUGACCCGGUGUAGAAUACACAUCCUCAUUGGGCCUACCAAUGGGCCCCCAAAUCAACUCCGGCUAUCCCCAAAUGGGUAAAUAGCCCUCAAAAAUCCACAGUGAUCUAACCAUAACACAUACUACCAUCUGAGAACUCCCAGUCUCCAAAUCCAUAGAACAUAUGAAUCACCAUAGUUGAUCCCAACUGCACUACUUGAAUGACUAACACCUCUCCCAUACACAAUCAUCCCACAAAAAAUACUAAUAUAAUUCUUCUGUGCCACAUUGCAAAAUCUGAACAUCAGCUGUCGAUCGACCAAACAAGCACCGCAAUACCAAUGAAGCAUUCGUAAGUCAAAAUACAGUGUGCCUUUUGAAGUGCGCAUCCUUCUCAGGCAAUACCAAGUAGUAAUAGCAUUCAUCUAGUCAUCUAAAACCAUCCAUGUUGUCUAAGAAUUCAUCACCUUCGCUUCAAAAUUGAACCGUGACCUUGCACAUGCAAAUCUCAAUCCCAUACAACAUACCACAUUUACCAUGACAUUAUUUGAAAAGCACGAGAAUAUCAUAAUCAACUCUGAGUCAUCAGCUGAAUACAUACCUGAACAGUCAGAAACCUUCCAUUUGAUCCCAUCUAGGAGAAAAUCAUAAUACACAACAUGCUCCUCACACUGGUAGGAAAUAUCCAUCUCAAACCAUGGUAGAAACCAUCGAGAACUAUUAGAAAUCGACUUUCACAUAACCAAGCCAUCAGAACUGAAUCUCUCUAACUCAACCAAGCCACGCAAGUUGCCAAACCCAAGAGUAUUGCCACAAAACACCUGUAGAGACUCACCACAUUAUAAGUACCCAAAGAAUCGAUCAUAUCCAUUACUAUGCUGAUCCAACCUACUAUCAAGGUGUCUUAUUUCUCUGAGUUCCUUCAGAAUUACCCUCAAAUUGACACUUAUCCUUGCCAGAACACCACAAUCCUUACCCAAAGCUCACCACAAGAGAUCCUAGCAUAAAACUACACCGCCAUAAGGCCCAUAAGCCGUUGUAUUCCUUCUUAAGCACCCCAAAAGUAACACAACCGAGACACCCACUCAGAAGAGACCUUAUGUGAAUAUAAAAUUAUUUCCUUUACCAUCCUAAUACUGAAAUGUAGAAUCCAUAAUGAUAUAGAAAACCACAAAUCUCGACACCAUCCAAUGCAAAUCCCAGAUUCUAGCCAUAUACAAAUCUGAAAAAUCCUCCAAUGCCGCAUAUGAAUCUUAAAUUCCUUAGAUCUUUCUCGAGAGUCAUCCACCCUAUUCAAAUCUCAAUUGCACCGACCAAACAGGCCGAACGACUUGUGCCCCAUUAGCAUGACAACACCCCAAGAAGCAAUCCACCCUUCUAAGCAAUCGAGUGAAUCCUUUUCUUGGUAAAUUACAUCCAUCACUAACAACAACCCUAGACCAUUUCCAUGACUCCCACAUAUCCAUAAGGGGUAAUACAUCAUGCAUCCAGAAAUUCCUUGCUCAAGUCAUCCUCAAAACCAACCUCUGCGAGUCAUAACCGACCCGUAAGUAUGCCUCAAACCUAAACCAAUACAACACAUAAUUAUGCAAUCAAAUCGUCGAUGGCAAACUCCCCCACUUGGCUCAAAGCCAUAGAACAAAAUACUUGACAACUCACAAUACCCAUACUCUAUCAAUGCCAUAAUCAUGUAGUUAGAUUUAACUAAAUCCUUCACAAGCUCCUGCAAUACAACCCAUAAAAUACCUGAAAUCAUCCGCUAAGCCUGCAUCCAUCCUCAUGAUAGUUAGGUCAACUUUCUAAACCGAUCCAAACUCAAAUCGCAACAUAUAUAACCCACUGGUAGAAAAGAAACCCUCCACACAACAUCAUAAGGAUCACACAUCCAUAGAUUACCCCGCAUGUGAUAGCCCACCUACUCAACCUUAAACUGACAUCUCUCUAUACCCUUUCACAGUUACGCAGUCACUUAAUCUUCCAGAGUCUAAACUCAUCAACAAGACAUGAGAAUCUACUUCGUUCCACAAAUGAACAAUCAUGAAAGAAUCCAUCGAAACACUCAUAACUCAAGACUGUAUAACACAUCCACAGAAAUCGAGCACCCAAUAGUCCUUUUCAAACCUAAAGAAAACUCUUCUCAUCACAUUCAGACCAUCUAAACACAUCCCGCAGUCGCAUCAUACUCAUCAUGUAAUCAUCCAACCACUCACUGAGCCACCAGUCCCACUCAUAGUGACAUCACUGGACAUAGAAGUCCAAAAGCACAUGCUCACACAACUAAAACUACCAAGCCUAAGUUGCAGUCCAAACUGGGCCUCAAGUCCUCCAGACUAGCCCAUCACCAAAACAUAGAAAACGCAUCUUGCACCUCAUCCAUGGAAUCCGCAAGCCAUCGGUGUACAGCCGAUACCGUGUGCUCACAUGCGCAUACGAGUGAGUGGAAGGAAUUCAAAGAGUUACACUUCAAGCUGAAUCAAUAUCGCACGAUAAGAAAAGAAAGAUGUGAUGCUUAUCCUAAAUGCCCUAUAGACUCUUGAAGAUAGGUAUGGAAGUUAUCAUACCAAUCCGCAAGACUCUACUAUACACUUGCUCAUGACUCGUAGAACCUAUGAACCUAGAGCUCUGAUACAAACUUUUCAUGACCCAAAAUCCAACUAGUCGUAAUGGCAUCUAACCCAACUCGCUAGGUAAGCCAAGUUGACAAUAAUCCAAUUUCAAAUAAGAUCUACUUAGAGAAAUAAUGAUAUUAUAACUGAACUCUUAUUCAAGGAAUCCCCAAGGACUAGUAGUACAAAUCAUGCGCUUCUAAGAUUUAGAGUUUACAAAGCUAGUAUGAAAUAAAUACAUCAUCUAUUUGAUAUAUACAUAAACGGAUUUUUAUAAAUCUAAAGCUACCAUGAAUAAGAGGCAACUACAACCGGAACGCAAGUUCAUCUUCACAGCCAGCAUCCGCCAUACACAGCAAAAUCGACUCCAAAUUCUGCACACAAGGUGCAAAGUAUAGUAUGAGUAUAACCGACCCCAUGUACUCAAUAAGUAACAAACCUAACUUUAGGUUGAAAGUAGUGAUGACCUUGGACAACGGUCAUAGUCUAGCACCAACAACCAAGAACAACUCGUAACAAUAUAAUGAAAACAAUACAAGUAAUACUCAAAGAUAUGAUGCUCAGCUCGUUCAUAGUUACGGAAAAUAGGCAUGUUUUUCAGGUAUAACAGUAAAAGCCAAAUCUUUCACCGAAGUCACCAAAAUGUAAGUAUGUCAGAAAAAAUGUGAUCUUUCCCAAAAACAUUCAAAAAUAGAUAAGAUGCUCCAUUAUCAGAUAGCAUGAGGAAAGUAAAUCUCUAUGCCUACAUGUCAAUGUGUAUGAGAAGUUAUAAAUGUCACAAUACUGUAUAGCAUGAGGAAAUGCAUCUCUAUGCCUACAUGCCAAGUAUGCAUGUCAAAUGUAAUGCACCACAGUGAUAAACGCAUGUGCUCAUGCUCUCGGGGUAUUCAACCUCACUCAGCACACUCAAUCACUCCACACCUCCCAAUCUUUCAACACUCUCAAACACUCAGCACCUCCCAAUCACUCAACACUCUCAAUCACUCGGCGCUCGCACUCGGCACUCGACAUUCGGUACAUGCGCUCACUGCUGGUAUGUCAGACUCUGGAGGGGCGGAUCCUACCCAAGCGCUAAUAUAAGCCAACAUGGCAUGCUGUGGUGUGCAGCCCGAUCCCAUAAAUAUUACUCACAUUCAAGCCCUCGGCCUCAUUUAGUCAUAAAUCUCUCCAGUCUCUCGGGCUCACAAAUCUCAUGCCAAUCAGACCAAACAAUGAUACAUGAUGUAAGAAUAAAUGAUAACAGAAACUGAGAUACGAUCUGUAAAUGAUGAAGGUGACUGAGUACAUAAUUGCAAUUUAAGCAAAUAACUCAAUAGCAUAAAUGACCUCAGUGGGUCCCAACAAGAUAAGCAUAUAGCCUAAAGAUGGUUUCUAACAUGGAUCACAGUUCAAUUACUCUAGCACAUAGAAAUUUCAAGGAUAGAAACAAGAUUAGGUAACUACACUGUACCACAGAAACAACCGAAUCAUAAUUCACACGGUGCACGCCCACAAGCCCGUCACCUAGCAUGUGCGUUACCUUAACACCAAACACAUAGCACGUAUAUUCAGGGGUUCAUACCCUCAACACCAAGUUUAGAAGUGUUACGUACCUUGAACAAGUUGAAUCCAAUAUCGAGCAAGCCAAACAAUACUUUAGAAAUGCCAUUUCGCACGUACUGACCUCCGAACGGCUCAAAACUAGUCAAAAGAAACUCAAGAACAUCAAAUAAUGCCAACGGAAACAAACCCAAUCGAUAAUGGUGGAAUCUUUAAUCAAAAGCCCAAAGUCAACCAAAAAGUCAAACCUGGUCUCCACCUCGGAAUCCGACGAAACUCACAAAAUCCGACAACCCAUUCAAUUAUGAGUUCAACUAUACUAGUUUCACUCAAAUCCUACUCUGAAUCGAUGUUCAAAGCUCAAAAAUUCAGUUUAUGAAAUUUUAGACAAAACCCCCCAAAUUCCACUUUGAAAUCAUCAAUCAAGUGCCAAAAAUAAAGAUGGAUUCAUAAAAUAUAACCAUAACUGAGAAUAAAACACUUACCUCAAUCCAUGUGGCGAAAAUCGCCUCCAAAAUCGCCCAAAUCCAAAAUCCUCAACUCAAAAUAUGACUAAAUGAACAAACUCUCAAUAUUAUAUGCUUCUACCCAAUUGUUCUGUCUUGUUUCUUAUGCCAAACGAUUCUGAAAUUCACUUUUGAUACCUCCAAUCGAUUCCUCGUAAAAUUUCAGUCAAGUUAGGCUUUUGAAUCACUCCAUUUGACCUUAUAAUGAAGGAGAUAUAUUAGUUUCAAUAUUUGAAAAUAGUGCAGAUUUUUAAAUACGAAUUCAAUGGUAAUUUCGUAAUUAAUCGGAAAUAUCUAGCAACCCAAUUCUUAGUAAAAUGACCAUAAAUUCCUCAUACAAUGUCGAAACUUAAUGAUUUCAGUUGAUAUAAUUCCAAAAUUACGAUACGGAUCUAAUGCUUCAAUCAAAACAGAUAUUAGAGUUCAUUUGCUUAAUGUGGUACCAUUUAUACUUGAAGAAACGACGUAAAAACAUCAAAAAUGAGUGCAACACAACCUAAACCUAUCCGAAACUCACCCGAGCCCCUCGGGACCCCGUUCGAAUAUACCAACAAGUUCUAUAACAUAACACAGACUUACUUGAGGCCUCAAAUUAUGCAUAACAACAUCAAAACCACGAAUUGCACUUCCAAUCGAACUUAAUGAACUUUUGAACUUUCACCUUCCAAAACUCAUGCCGAACCAUAUCAAAUCAACUCGGAAUGACCUCAAAUUUUCCACACAAGUCCCAAAUGAUAUAAUAAAGCUAUUCCAAUUCUAGAACCACAAUCCAAACUCAAUAUCAUCAAAGUGAACUUCUGGUCAAAUUUAUGAACAUUCCAAACCUUCAAAUUGCCAACUUUAACCAAUUAGUGUCGAAACCUUUUAGAAAUAUCCAAAUGCAAAUCCGGGUACACGCCCAAUUACAAAAUCACCAUCCGAACCUAACAGAACCAUCAAAACUCCGAUCCGAGGUCAAAUACUCAAAACUCAAACAUGGUCAACUCUUCCAACUUAGAACUUCAAACAUGAAAUUCAUUCUUCCAAACUAAUUCUGAAACACCUGAAAACAAAAACCGACGAUUCAAACAAGUCUUAAUACAUCAUAUAAAGCUACUCAAGCCUUCAAAUAGCUGAAUGGAAUGCAAAUGCUCAAAACGACUGGGCGGGUCGUUACAUGAGAGGAGGUGAAUUGUAAAGGAAACAUUAUUUUUGAGGAUUUAUUGAGGGCUUUUGAGGUAAGUAUCUAGCCUAACGUUGUAUAGGGAAACUACCCCGUAGGAAUUGGUUUGUUUGGACUAUUUGAACUACAUAAAAGACGUGUACACGAGGUGACGAGUGUGUGCACGGCUUAUUUAUGGGAAUUUGACCGGCUUAGACUAUUAGGUUCUUAUGUACAUUAGAAUGAAGUUGUAAUACCAUGUUAAACCCUCCAUUGCUAAAUUUAACUUUACGUGUUUUAUUUGAAGUUGAUUGAUUCAUGUUCUACCUUUGUUUCCAAAUAUACUCUUAUAUGUCUUAAUUAAAGUUGUUGCCUCUUCUAUUGCAUGUUAUCUCUUCCGCAAUUGCUUAACCUUAAUUGAAGUUAUUGGUAUCCCUUUCAUUGUUGACUUAUCCAUUUUUGAAAUCAUUGUUACAAGUUAUAUCUCUUAUCGUUGAGUUGUACUUAUUUGGAAUCAUUGUUACCUGUUAUCUCCCUUAUCGUUGAGUUGUACCUAUUGGAAUCAUUGUUACAUGUUACCUCUCUUAUCAUCAAGUUGUACUUAUUUGGAAAUAUUAUUACAUGAUAUCCCUUCAAUUGUUGAGUUACUCUUAUUGGAUAUCGUUGUUACAUAUUAUCUCUCCCAUUAUUGAGUUAUUCUUGUUUGAAACUAUUAUUACUUUAUAUGUUCUUUAUUGUGAGCUCGUUCUUCCGUUUCUUUGUGUUUUGUAAUUAUUGUGUUGAUUUACUUGUCGUUCUCUUGUGUUAUUAUUGUGUUAUUGUUGUACGUAGUGUUGUUGAGCCGAGGGCUAUGUGUGGUUUUGGUAUUGGAAUUUUUUUGAGGAAGUGUUGUGGCAUAUGGUCACAUGUGGUGCAAGCCAUUAUAUUGGGUUGUUAUGCUUGUGGCACACAUAAAAUUAUUGAAAGGAUUGUCGAGGUUUUUGCAUGUGAGUUGUCCAUGCUAUUGNNNNNNNNNNNNNNNNNNNNNNNNNGGGGGGGUUGCACAUGUGGAGAGAUAAGGCGGGAAUAUUAUUAUGUGCAUGCGGCGAGACAAGACGGGUAUUUACUUUAUUGUUGUGCAUGUGGCGAGACAAGGGGGGCUAUGUCGGGGAUGAUUUGUGAUGGCCUGGAGGCAUUGUUAUAGAUGAUAUUUGGGUAGUGGUGUGCCUACCUUGUGUGAGUUAUGCAUUUUUACUUUUUGUUGUGUUGUUUCCUAUGUGCCAUUCAUUGACUCUACUCAUACUCUUUGACUCAAGUUGUGAUAGAACACUUGCACAAGUAUACAAGUAAUUAAUCACACAUAUCGGUUUAAGAAGAUGAAUCCUAAUGUUCAUUGAUCAUUAUCAUGUAUUCUCGUUUACUUGCCUUCUUUGUGAGAAUUCUACUAUUGGAACAUGAGUUGUCCGUGCGAUUAUGAGUUAUGGUUAGUGUUGGCACGUGAGUUGUCCAUGUGGUUAUGAGUCAUUGUUAUUGUUGGCACGUGAAUUGUCCGUGUGGAUAUGAGGUAUUGUCACUUCCUUAGCACGUGAGUUGUCCGUGCAUAUAUAAGGUACUAAUGGUAUUGACACGUGAGUUAUCCGUGUAGCAGGUGAGUUGUUCGUGUAAUUAUGAAUAUUAAUGUGGGCACAAGAUGCCAAGUUAUUAGUGUUCGUGACUUGGGACCCGCAAAUUGUGGUGAUGAGGUGUGGUACCUAAGAAAAGUUCUUGUAUAAAUCUUGUGUGAAAGUAGUUGUUUAUUUGGUUGCUAAAGCAGUUGUUUAUUUGGUUGCUACCUGUUUUUUUUCCUUACUUGGUUUCACCGGACCUUGACUAUAUUUAACUUACUUUAUGACAUUAUUACCCGUUUGUUCCUUGUUGCUAAUUAUUGCUUCUAGUUUUCUAUUGCAAGUAGCGUUGUAGUUUUAUCAUGCUCAGUUUUAUAUUGAUAUUGUUCCCUGAUAGUUUCACAUUUAUACUUGCACAUUUUAUUAUGUCUAGUAGGUGUCUUCACUGUUUCUCGUCACUACUCCACCGAGGUUAUUCUUGAUACUUACUGGGUACCACUGUGGUGUACUCAUGCUACACUUUCUGCACAUUUUUGUGCAGAUCCAGGUACUUUGGAAUUGGCUGAUCACUAGUUAGCUGACCGAGUUUUGCCGCAGAGACUUCAAGGUAUACAUGUCGUCGCGUUCGCAGGCCUUAGAGUCACCUUCUGAAGUUAUUUUGUAUAGUCUAUUUCUAUUCCGGCACAGUUGUACUUAGAGAUUUUCUUGUGAACUUCGUAGAGCUUAUGACUUAUACUACCGAUUUCGGGAUAUUUGUAUCAUGUUGGGAUUGUUGGAUUUAUAUAGAAAUAUAUGGUUCAUGUUUAAUAGUUGUUUUGGUUUAAUUCUGUCAUUUAAUUCAGUAAAUAUUAGGCUUACCUAAUCUUAGAGACUAGGUGCCAUCACGACAUCCUACGGAGGGAAAAAUGGGAUCGUGACAAUCACAUAGCAUAAAAACAUUAAAUUCACUUCAGAAAAACUUGAAUACAACAAACAUACAAUUCAGAAACAACUUGAAUUCAACAAACAUACAAUUAAUAUGCACUUAUUAAUCAACAUAUUAACUAUGAAUAAAAUGUACCUGCUACAUCCAUUGUGCUAACUGUUAGCAUGGUUCCUCUAUAUGCCGAUUUUAACUAACUGCCAUCUGUUGACACUCAAUUUUGACCCUCCGUAUUUUAAAAUUAAUUUCUGUAGGCUUCCUAGUUAAAAAAUGAUAAAAUAUAGUUUUUUGCACAUCAUUUAAUUUUAAUGCAAUUUAUUGAUAAUUAUCCCCAUUUUCACAAAAUAUAGAAAUUUUUAUCAUUUUUAUUGCAAUUAGUUAAAUACUACAUAUUUUGUGCUUUCUUUAAAAAAUCAAAACAAUUUAUUGAUUAUUGCCCUAUUUUCAAAUAUUAGGACAUUCUAUCAAUUUAUUGUUAUUAAAAUAAAUAAUAAUUACUACAAUAUUAUCGUAGUAGUUGGCCUUUUUAAUAAAUACUGCUAGUCAUAUUUUUAUUAAAUAAUUAUAUUUUACAGCACAGCCUAGUAAUUACAUGGAAGCCAGUAGAGUUUUCUUUAAAAAAAUCAUAUCAAGUCCGGUCAAACUUAAUGUCCUGCCAACGUCCGAUGUGAUGACGCAUUUGAUGUGACAUUUGACGUGACCAAAUAUGCGAUGUGACAAGUCAUAUUGAUGUGACAGGUCAUGUUGAUGUGACAUAACAUCCUUUACAUAUGAACCACAUAUUUGUUUUAACAUUUAUUCUUUAUUUCACAAAAAAUAAGCACCACAUAUUCUAAUUUAUGUAUUUUUCCUUUUAUUUUUUGUCUUCAAAAACCUUGUGAAAUAAAAGGGUGGAAACCCUAAUCCCCCCUCAUUCUCUAGCAUUUUUCAGUCGCAGCCCCUCCUCCUUGAAAUAUUUCUCUCUCAUUUUGAGAGAAUCUCGGCAGUUUUAGCCGGAAUCCAACGAGUCCGGCCAGCCACCAUGGCAUGUUUCCUCCAGUCCCCUGUCUCCAUCAUCUCUUUCUCGAACGCCGACGACCCCAUUAAAACUAGUUUUUUUCAACUUGAAACUCUUAUACGCCCUCAGAUCUGACCGGAUAUUUGUUCUCCGAUGAACUCUGUCGUCUCCGGUUAUACGGGUUAUCUUGCUUUUGCCGGAGCUGCUCCGUUAAACAUCGUGGAAGUAGUGUCGCCGGCAAGCAAUGUUUGAGACCUCUCUUGUCUCCCUCUAUGGUGGAUUCCUAUCUUGGAAUGUGUUGUUGUUAUUAUGUCCUCACUUCAGUUUUGUCCAUGGACAGAUCUAGACGGAAUUAAGUUUUCCAGCGAACCUCAUAUAUUCCGGCGACCUUGUGCUACUGUUCUGGCAUCCUCUCAUGGAUAACUGAGAUUUUCUAUCUUCUUUUUUGCUAUAUUUCACUGUUGUAUGUUUAUAUGAUUAUGCAUGUUGGUGUUUGUUCUUGUUAAGAUUUUCUGGUGGCUUGUGUGCUUUUUCAGGCGACUGACCAUUCUAGUUUGCUUAAUCGUUGAUUGUUAUUGUCUUUGCUAUUGCCUCGUUACAUUCAGGAGCUGCUCAAGUUCUUGGAGCCUUGAUACCUAUUCAAAUUCUUAAGGCCAAACAUGGAUUGAAAUUUUCGUCUUUUGCUUAUUCUAGGUGUGCUGCUUCACACGACUGCAUCACUAACAUUUGUUGUGAUUCCAGGAAUUGUCGAUUCUUUUUCAAGCCUUGUUGCUAUGUCUUGGAACGCUACUGUUGUGGAAAUUUUAGCCCCGAAAUUGUUUGGUUUUGAUGCUAUCAUGCAUGACAAAUUAGACCAAUCACUGAUAUUGACAAAUAUUACAAAGGCUGAUGAGAAUAAUCUUUUGAGGCUACGACGCCACGAAUAGACCUCGGACUGGGCCUGAAAUAACGAGGCGAUGACGAUAAACAUCGAAUAGGGAAAGGAAGAGAAUGUGAAGAACCAAUAGCCCAUCGGAAGGCGACAUGAUUAACUACCGUAGUCGCAACCAAGGCGGUUCACGUUCUGUAAUGACCUGAUCGGUUGUUUUGUGUAAUUGCACCCCGUUUUCCCUUUUUAUGCUUCACACAUGUGUGUUUAUAGUUUUAUGACUUGCGGGGUUGGUUAGUUUCAUUCCCAUAAGCUUUCGGGUUGAUUUAGACCCUUUGAUUUUUGACAUAGAAGCCUAAGUUAUAAAUGUUGACCGAACUUUAACUUUUAUAAAAAUGACCCCGGAACCAUAUUUUGAUGAAUCUGAUAGCUUUGUAUCGUGAUUUCGGACUUGGGCGUAUUCCCGAAAUUUAUUUUGGAAGUUCGUAGGUUGAUUUGUGUUGUUUUGCCGAAAUUUGGCAAUUUGAAGUUGAAAAGUUUGAACGUAGGUUGACUUUUAGCUAUCGGGCUCGGAAUUUGAUUUUUGAACUUGGAAUAGGUCCGUUAUGCUAUUUAAAACUUUUUUGCAAAAUUUUGUAUCAUUUGGAGUUGAUUUGAUAGGAUUCAGAUGUUUAGUUAUAAUUCUAGAAAUUCUUGAAUUUUACUUUGAAAUUCAUGCGUUUUAGUAUUUGAUUCGUAGAUUUAGAUGUUAUUUUUGUGUUUUGAUCGCACGAGUGAGUUCAAAUGAUGUUUCUAGACUUGUGUGGAUGUUUGGUUUCGAACCUCGAGGGCUCAGAUGAGUUUCAAACAUAUUUCAGAAUGGUUUUCAACUGAAAUAAACUAUCAGUGCUGCUGGUGCUCAGGUAUCGCAAUUGCGAGCACCAGCAUCGCAAUUGCGAAGGUGACAGUAGGGGCUCAGAUAUCUUAAUUGCGACUACCCCAUCACAUUUGCGAAGUUUGCUGGCUUUUGACUUAGUUCGCAUUUGCGAACAUUUGUUCUCUUUUGCGAGGUUCACAGCUUUGCAAUUGCGAUAUUGAAGGAGGUUGUUGGGGUUCGCAAAUGUGAGCCCUGGUCCUCAAUUGCGAGGGUUCAAAAAUGCAAAACCCGUGUCGCAAAUGCGACAACUGCGGGGAUUUGGAGAGGGGAUUUUUGAACCCUAGACUCGGUAUGAGGCGAUUUGGAGAGGGGAUUUUUACCUACAAACUUUGGGUAAGUGAUUCUAAUCUAUUUCUAAUCAUAUUCCAUUAGUAUAUCUUAGAUUUUAACAUCAAAAUCAUGUGAAUCAAAAUGAAAAUUUGUGAAACUUUAUCAAGUUUUUGAAAAAUAAGAAUUUGAGUUUUGAGAGUCGAUUUGGACUCAGAUUUUGAAACUAAUUACAUAUAUGAACUCGUGGGGUCAUGGUUAGUCGAAAUCUGCCAUUGGACCCGGGUUUUGACCGGGCCAGUCCCAAGUUGACUUUUGUUGACUUUUUGGGAAAAGUGUAAAGUUCUUAGCUUUAUCUAUUGUAAUUUAUUUCCCUUGCAUUGUUUGAUGAUAUUAAGUAGAUUUUGGUUAGAUUUAAACCGUGUAGAGGCAAAAUUUUGGGGAAAAGCUAUUUUCGAGAGUUGAAUUGGCCUAGUUGAGGUAAGUAUCUUGCCUAACUUUGUGUGGGGGGACUACCCCUUAGGAUUUGGGAUUGAUUGUGUCGUUGGUGCUAUGUGAAAGCCGUGUACGCUAGGUGACGAGUGGGUACACGGGUUGUACGUGGUAUUUGACCGGUUUGGGCUACUUAGACUCUUUCCAUUCUUUAAUUGAAUUGUCGUAUCAUAUUCUAAAUUCUCAUAGUCAAUCUAUUCUUACUUGUGUUAGUCUAUACUUCCAUGCCUUGAAUGAUUUCGUUAACACUUGUUCUACAUCCUAAUUGAUAAAUUGCUCUCAUGUUUUAGCUAAACUUGUUGCCUCUAUUAUUGUUACAUGUUAUCUCUUUCAUUAUUGAUUAUCAUUAUUUGAAGUUAUUGUUCAUGUUAACUCUUUCAUUAUUGAUUAUCAUUACAUGAAGUUAUUGUUCACGUUAUCUCUUUCAUUGUUGAUUUUCAUUAUUUGAAGUCAUUGUUACACGUUAUCUCUUCCAUUGUGAGUUAUUCAUAUUUAAUAUCGUGGUUACACAUUAUUUCUCUCGUUGUUAAGUUAUUGGUGUUGAGGUUGUGAAAGCCGUUAUCACAUUGAGGCGAAAUUGUUAUUGUUGAGACAUCUUCCUUGUUGAGCAUUUUACAUUUAUUGUUGUCGUUAAUAUUCUUGUAUACAUUGUGGCGGAGCAAUGGGCUAUUGUUGUGGAAAUACUGAUAUUGUUGAUUGUUGGCAAGUUGUGAUAUAUGGGCACUUGUGGUGCGAGUUGUUAUUGUGAUGUGAUAUUGAUGCGCAUGCGGAGGUAUAAGGCUAGGAGUUAAUGUGCAUGCGGCAGAAUAAGGUGGGACUUAUGUGCGUGUUGCUUGUAGGGUGAACUACGUGAAGCCACGUGGUGUCAUAAUGUAAGAUAAAAUGCGUGUAGCUAUUUUGGGCAAAAAUAUUUUCAAAACUAUUUAAAUAUAAGGCUCACGCGGCAGUAUAAGGAAAGAUUGUGAUUGAGAUUGUGAAUUGUGAAUACGAGGCAGUACCUCGUUGUGAUGCUUGUUCUUAUCUCGUGUUGUAAAGAUUUAUUUGGUGGGAACACUUCCUGUUAUUUUGUUCUUCAUUGUUCUAUCAGUUAUUGUCCGUAUAUGAACACUGUGGUUCUUCUCAAUUGCUUUCAUUAUGUUAUCUCGUUAGUCCCUGUUAUUAAUUUGCUUCAUAUUUCUCAUUGCUCCGCUUUCCGUUUUUUUCUUGAUAUUACGUUUUCUUUCCGCUUGUUAUAUCCUACUAGGUGUCUUGACCUGGCCUCGUUACUGCUCUACCGAGGUUAGGCUUGAUACUUACUAGGUACCAUUGUGGUGUACUCAUACUACGCUUCUGCACAUCUUUUUGGGCAGAUCCAGGUACGUCUGCUCGUGCCGGACGUUAGUGAUCGACUGCUAGCUACUUAUGAAGACUUCAAGAUAUGCUUGCUCGGCGUCCGCAUGCCUCAGAGUCACCUUCCUUUACUUUUACUACUGUUGUAUUUUUCAACCAGACAGUAUUGUAGUCAGAGAGUUGUAAUAUCAUCUUGUAGAGCUUAUGACUCUGCUCUACCAGGUUUUGGCGAGAAUAUUGGUUAUUGUCUUGUUGAGUUUAUUAUUAUAGUUUGAA